UGGAGUCUAGUUCGGUUAUUGAACUAAAAACUGCUUGUGUAGACAUUGGUAUAUUUUUGUCGGACUAACCCUUGCAGAAAAACUUUCAAUAUCGAUUUGGAAAGUCCUGAGAUAAACUCACAUCAGAGACGAAGAGAGUGACACAUGAAGUUUAACAAUUUGCACAAGAAGGACAUAGCUCAUUCAUCAUAGAGAGAUGAUCCAUGGAGGGUGCCACAAACACGAUGCACAACCGCUAAGAAAGGAAAGCUUCCAUAAGGUGAUACUGUACCAUCACUCUUCAAGCAAGGUAACAUCUUAAGGUACUUGACUAUCACUUUUAUAAGCUUCGCCUUGGUUCUGGCGUUCAUAUAAAUAAAAGAGACAAACAUGUAUGAUUUACAACUCUAGAUUAACCAACCCAACUGAUUCAACAUGUUUAGUCCUUUAACCCUUGUUUUUAGUACUACCUCCAUGAUCCCACACUCCUAAUCAUAUGAGCUAAAAUGUUACACAUUCAAUCAUUGAGAGAUAUAAAGAAAAAGACAUAUACAUAGAUAGAUUAUCUUUCCAUAAGGUUGAGCGAUCUGAUCUGACAAAUGUUAUAAGUGCUACACUCAUGAACUUUUCAUCCAUCAACUUUGUCUUGCUCACUAUGCUUAGGGUUAGAGAAGAACAAAUACACUUUAGGUUUUGUUGGUGUUUUCCACCAACAGGACCCAUGCACUUGAUCUCUGCCUUGUCUCUAUGAGCAGGUACACUUCGAGCAAAACACGGAGGAGUUUUAUAACUCUCAGACUCUACCAAGUGAAGGACCUGGAUCUACGAGCACAAACACACUAAGCAGGACACUGCCAACGCCGCACUUCAAACUGCUGGGCAAACGAAGAGGUGCAGACGUCAAGGUCCGCACCUGAAUCAAAUGACGCAUCUGAAGAAUGAACACGGUGAGAAGUCUUGUUCAGAAGACUUAAAUCAUUGAACCCUCGCCGAAAGGUAAAAUCGGUAAUUAUCCAUAUUUAUCCUUUCUGCAUUUUUCCUUAAAUUAUUUACUUUCCUUAAAUAGAUUAUUAGUUAAUCAUGCUAUCUUGAAAAGAAAAUAAAAAUGUUAAAAAAUACUAAGCCCCAUGUGAGUAUACGAGUGGCAUAAAACCCAUAAGUACCUUCACUGUGGUGGCAUAAAAAUAAAAUAAAUAUUUCUUUUCUGCUUUAUAAAAUAAAAAUAUAAAAACAGGGAGUAAUAUUUAUUGAGGGAGCUCAACAUGAUGAAGGCUAGAUAUUUAUGCUAACAUUUAAUUAGUUCCACAAGCUUUGUUGUCUAUUUGAGCUCCAUAGAAUUUAAGAAUCAAGAAGACUAGCAGACGGAGGACAUUCUAAUCGUUGUCACAAUGUUGCUUACUUUCAAAUACACCUCUGCCACCUGCUAGCUACAUCAAGAGAAAUUACGUCAAAAUUCAGCUUGGGGGAGAGCACCCCCAUUUAUCUCGCUAAGUAUUUCUACCUAUCUUUAUACUUAUAUUAUGUUAGAAUAUUAAAAUACAUAAACUAUGAAAAACCAAAUAAAGAUUUUGUGCUUAUAUAUAUAUAUAUAUCUUUUGCUUAGUGUGUUUAAUAAAUAAAUAAAGUGGCUAUGCUAAUCUGAAUCUUAAUAAUAAAACUCUAGCAUGGAUAUGAUGAAUAGUUGCUCUGCCUAAUUUGCAAAUUUGAAGUUCUCUCUCAAGUUUAGACACAACUGUUAUAAUUUAAAGCUUGCUCUAGAUCUAAACUUGUGGGAUGAAAACUUGAUCUGAAAUCUAAGUUGUUAACGGAUAUGAUAUGGGAAGGUUGAGCUGCUGUUUAUCUGUUCCUAGAGAUGCUAGAAUUCUGGAGAAUUUUAUCUUUGAAAAAUCUUCAAAAUAUUGCAUGAUGAGUUCCUGUAUGAUGAGAGUUUAAAUUCCUACCACAGCCAUAUAUACAUGCUUGCUAGACUUUGAGCCACACAUUUACUAUUUACUGCUUAUGUGUGUAGACCCUUAGGAGCUUGUCAUGUGGUUAAAUCAAGAUUCACUUGCAUGUUCACUCAUAUAUGCUACUUCUACUCUGGAAGUACCAUCCACAUAUAUCCAUCCAUGUCCAUCUCCAGAACCACCCAAAAAUAUUCUACUCCUAAUCCGGGAGAGAAUAGCCAAAAAUAUUUCUGUUUUCCCUUGUGAAAUAAAUGCUCAAGUUAUCUUGCUACGACCACUUGCUAUAUUAUCUCAAGAGAUGAGUGCUCUGAAAAAAAAGAGAAGAAAAGAAAAAAAAUAAACGAGGAAAUAAAAGGGGCAAGUGCCCGGAACCUCGAAAGAAAUAAAAAGUGAGACGAGAGGUAAAAAUGGACAAGUGUCCGAUAGUAGAAUUAGGGGUACAGGAUACCCACCUGAGAGGAAAGAAAAAUGAAAGAUAGAGCAUCUCAUUCUCCUCAUAAAGUUUCAAAAAGCAAGGAAGGUAUGUAUCCCCUCAAAAGAGCAAAAGUAGAAUCAGACUUUCACCAUUGUUAUCACCAUCAUCACCAUACACCAUUCAUUCGCCACACAUGCACAUCUUGAUUUGGCUUAUUGAUUUGUUUCUUUGGAUCCAUGGUUUGACUAUACAAUAAAUGUCUUGUAAGUAUGUAUACUUUAUCUCCCACCUAUGAGCUCCAGAUAUUAAAGCCUUAUUAGAGUAGGGUGAGAGAGAAGGCAAUGUCACUAUGCCUUAUACCACAAAUAACACAUAUCUUGAGAGAAGGCAUAUACCAUCACUGCCUUGGUAAGGAUCCAGAAAUACCACAAAAGAGAGAUUUAGAGAGUCAUACAAGGAAUCUCCGAGUUUUAUUUGAAAAUCUGCAAAAACUCCAGAGCUAUAGCUGAUCAAGAAUAAGAGACAUGGCACUUGGCUAGACUGUUCUAUCUUUUAACUACUCAAGACAGAAGUGACGGUUACAAGUCCCAUGGUGAAGGUAAAGUAAGUAAGUUUUAUUUCUUGACAGUUUACUCUAACUCAGAGAUGAGAUCUUAUUUAAAAGUAUGUGUACCGUCAAAUUUUAGGAUAUUGCAAAAACUUCUGAUCCAUUGCUGAGUCUAUCCUUGCUCAGGGACGAGCAAGAGGUAAGCUUGGGGGAGUUUGUUGACGGUCCUUAAGUAUCAAAUUUAAUUAUCAAAUAAACAAAGAAAAGGAUCCAAAUGAAAUCAACAUCUAGACUUAGGGUUUUAUCUGCCAGAAUUCCACGAGUUUUGGUGUUUGUCUAUUUCUGUAGGGUGUUAUCAGGAAAUAUGAAAGAAAGGCCCACACGUCGGGUUUACAUAGAGAUAUUAAUGUGCCGUGCAAUUUUCUACCAUCUAGAAGACUCCAGAAGCCACAGGAACGAACGGGAGGCCGAUCGGGCCCGGGGGCAGGGCGCCCACCCAAGUCCCUUGGGUGCCCGCCCAGCUACAGUAACCAAUCAGCUUCAACUUCGCGGAUCAUGCUCCACCGACCUAAUACUUCAAGGAAAACCACACGAUCAAUGUCGGUUUGAUCCGACGGCCCAGAUUCAUCUGAAAAGACUAUAUAACCAGACCCCCUGGCCCCUGGAGGAGGCACCCCUUGAUCAUUAUUCAUUAUUCAUAGACAGAGCAAAAGCUAGGGUUUAGAGAUGAGAGCUCUCCUCUCUUCUCUAAACUAGAGUAGAUCUAGAUAGUAGCGAGAUGGAGAGCGAAGGAGGAUUAGAGGAGAGGCCGGCCUGUCGGUUCUUCCUCCGGUUGUACUUCGUCAUGAUCAAGCUCUAAUCAAGCUUGCUCAUGGGAUGACUCUGGUAAUCUACUUCUAAUAUAUUAUGCAAUUACUAAUUAUGUAUGUUCUGGUUCACAACUCUUUUGAGUACUUCUAAUCUAUAGGACGCUAUAGGUUAGAGUUGUAGUAUAGGUGUAAGCGAGGUGCUUAGAUCUAGAUUACUUGUGGAUAUCCCCUGUCUAGCUGGAUCGUGUGGUAGGCCGCGUAGGUGACAGUUACUUUGGUCCUCUGUAGUCCACCUCUCGUUAGCAGGAUGGGUAGGGUUUAUCGGCCUAUGGAUAAGCAUCCUUUGUGGUGUAAUCUUAUCUCGUGGUUCGUCCCAGACAUAGACAUACCCCUUUGAAGUAGAGAAACCAUAGUUAUCCUCUCUAUUCUGCUACCAUCGCCCAUAUACUAGAUUGCUCUACUCUCUAUUCCCAUAUUAUCACCCAUUGUUAUCUUACCUUUAAUAUUGUUCUUAUUCAAUUCUACCAUCAGUUCUCCCGUUUCCCUGUGGAUACGAUAAAACCUUUAACCGGGUAAAAGCUUCAACGGUAUCCGUGCGCUUGCGGAUUAUCUGUGUGCGUAUAAAUACCAUAGUACACUCUAGUGCCAUGCUGGGGAUGACAACCUAGUAUUCAAGUGGUGUUAGCAAGUGUCAACAAUGGCUGGUGGAAGGAUGCUGCUAGCCUGAGGAUGGAGACGGUGACUACUAGUUAAUACCGAUUGAUCACCGGUGCCGAUGGAGAGCAAUUGGUUGCCGAUGCCGAUGGAGGAGAACGUGGAAAUUGUUGAGACUAGAGGGUAUGCCGAUGAAGCAGGAGCCGAUGGAGGUUUCAUCAUAAUUGAAGUGGGUACAGGAAUAUCAUUGGAGCGCGCGGGCCCAUUUCAUCCAUCCUCAGCGAUUGAGACAUCAACGGGAGUACCCAGCAAUGAUGAACCGCCGAGAGGACGAGGGCCGCCGUCAGACCCUCCUCGCGUAGACGCCUUAAUGCGUCGAGGAGAGGGCGUAGCCGGGACUGGUGGUUUUGGAUCACCCCGUAUUUCCAGUUGUCGAGGCGUUACUUGAUAAGCCGCCUGGUGUAGGCGGGGAAGAGGCCGUCAUCGUUGCGGAGGUAGAACCACUAGGAGUCCCACUGGGUAUAAAUUGACAUCAGCCCAAUGGGGAUGUAUUCUCGAGGCUUGUCCACGUGCCCUGUCUUCUGCACCAGGUUGAGGUAGCCGGUUUGCACCGGUUUCCUCACCUCAGCGGUCCCGCUGGGAGCAUGAAACAUCUCACCCCGGAAGAGGUGAAGCCACAACUCUUAGUGCGGCAUCACCCCCAGGUAGCCUUCACACACCACGGCGAAGAUCGCCACGGUGGAGAUAGCGUUAGGGGAAAGGUGCUGGAGUUCGACCCCAUAGUGCUGGAGAAGCACCCUUGUGAAGCGGCUUAAGGGAGAUCCGAGCCCGUGGCGGUGAAACUUGACGAAGGAAACCACGUAGCCCUCGAGUGGGCUCGGCUCCCGGUGUUCCGCCGACGGUGGGAUCCACUCCGGCCACAUCGAGGAGGUAGCAGGACGGAGAAGCCCCUCCCUCCAGAUCCCGCAGCCAGCGCUCCAUCACGGUCGACGAGCGCCAGUCGUCGGCGGCGAUAAGCUUCACCAGCAUGAGCGCGGCACGAAGGAGACGGUGGGGAAAGUUCUUCUUUACUGGUUAUCUCUCCUUUCCGGGCUCUGAUCUUCUCUGGUGCGCAGGAAGGUAUGAGAGGGAAGGGAAUGGAGGUAGCGGCGAAAGACGGAAGGAGAAGCAGUGAGACGGCCCCUCAAUAUAUAUAGGCGUGUCACAACAUGCAGAUCCGACAAUCACGGUAACUCCCUCCUCAAAUGUGUUGCCUAACGGUCCCAAUUUCCUCGCGAUAGGAUAUUAUGGUUUCCACCUAGGCAGGAGGAUGUUACAACGGCUCUCUCCUGAAAAGGUGCACCCAACGGGAAAAAAGAAAAACCGUUGCUGCGACUCCUUCCGCCGCAAGGUAAGUUCGGCCCUAGCCGCCGAUGAAACCUCGAGAGAGCGCAGACUGACCCACCGACAGGGUUCGAUAGUCACUCUCAAGUACACGAGUUAGGGACACCUAGAAGGAGGUCGAAAAGAGGCAUAGCUCGAAAGUUGAUCCUCGAGAUCCUACUGGGAGUAUCCAAGGCCGAGACUAGUAGGUCACGAGGAAUCCCCACGAAGGGAGGCGUCGAGCCGCUGGACCCAAUCAAACGGGUGACUAGUAGGUAACGAGGAAUCCCCACUAAGGGAGGCGUCGAGCUGCUGGACCCAAUCGAACGGGUGACUAGUAGUUCACGAGGAAUCCCCACUAAGGGAGGCGUCGAGCCACUGGACCCAAUCGAACGGGGCAAGUAACCUCACACACACUAGUCUGGCUUUAAUGAGAACGCCUUCGAGCUAUAGCCAACCCUCAUCGAACGGGGCAAGGGUUCUCACUUUGAUUUCCCAAUAACACUCAUUGAGGACGAUAACGCUCGCCCCAUUGGGGGUACGUCAUGCUCCUCACCGUGCGACCGAAUGAAAGGAAUCAGCAAACGUAGGCUGGUGUCAGCAAAACCACGAGCAAACGAAGCUCACGGGGCUCUACCAGGAGUCGAUACCCCUGGACGAAAGAAGGUCGAAAAUAAUCCGACCCAAGGCUAACACAGUCCUCGAAGGAGUCCACAGACUCCUCCGAGGCCUCGGGGGCUACCCCCACAGGGGCCGCUCACGCGCCCCACCACGGAAAUUCGAUCAAUUAAAUAAACCCCUACUCGAUCAUCAAUGCUCGAGCAGGGGCUCGGGGGCUAGAGUCGAGGGUGUUAGUAAGGGGUACCAUAACAGGCAUCUCUGACAGAGGGUACAAAGCCAACCCGCGAGUCGGACUCGAUGUCCCACUCCAUAAACGCACACUGAUCGAUGCCCUGACUCGACCCACGACGCGCACGAUGAUCGAUCCUGGUCUCGGUUAUGAAAAUAUGGUCGAGCAAACAACUAAAGGCUCGAAGCUAGGAGAUCCUUGAUUACGGAAAUGGCGUCGAGCGAAUCAGCUAGCCUCGAGCGCAAAAGCGCACCCCCGCCGCCUACCGCGGGUACAGGGUUCAGGGCAUUUAAUGCGACUGACAGGCUCCCACCUAACCCAGCAGGCACGGGAAACGUGAUGAUGGAUCGUGCGCCCAUCAAAUCCUACCUUUUCCCAGCUUUAUCCUCAAAAUCGGAGAAAGGUACGUGCAAGUAUAGUUGCAACAGGCGUAAUAUCCCAUCAAGAGGUCCCUCGAGAUGAGGUAGUCAGGGCUCUCGUACACGGGUGAUGCCUAAACCGCCAGACCCUCGAGCCCGCGUGCUCCUUCCCAGAGAAGGGUUGAGCGACGGAAGUCAGCGCUCCAACCACUCCCGACAUGAUGUCUGCUACAACGUACAAGCAUGCGUAUACGUGCACCAAUACCAGGCAACAUAUAGGAGGUAAACUCAGAGGGUGCAUGCGCCAUAAUCACCAAGUACACCACAACAAGACGGGUCGAGGCCACGCCGGUACAGAAGCCUAGAGUACGCCCACGCCAUACCCCUAUCGAGGUCUACUCUAGCGUCUAUGACCUGUAACCACAAGCCUCCCCUUGGACUACAAAGGGGACGCAGAGGCCGAGCUAGGGGGUAACUCACAACACACGAUACGUAGAACACCGAUCGCAUACACUCACGCAUUCAGGACUUAGAACCCGUAUUGAAUCCUUCUUGUACUCACCCCUGUACAAGCACUUAGGUGCAAGAUAAUACAAACUCGCUCCCCCGCUAGACGUAGGGCCCUCUUUUGCCCGAACCAGGAUAAACCCUUGAGUCCAUCUUGCAUCACCAUCCGAAAAGGAGAACACGCACACAACUUUACUUGUUGGUGUUACCCCCUGGGGUUAAAACACCGACAAAGGGCACUUAGAGUAGUUUAGCACUUUGUUUUUCCUUUGACCGUACUAGUAAGGGGGGCAUUGAGCGGGUAGCUUGACCUAGGCAAGGCUUUAGGUUUAGGUGUGGCGCACACAUGGUAAACCUAGCACUAGGCAGCUCUGAAAAAUCCUUAGAUCAAGAGGAACAAACUUUGUUUUAGAAAGAUCACGUUUCGACGAUGUUUGCUUGCUGAAACAGGCACCAGACGCUAGCACCGGACGCUCUGUGAGCGCGUCUAGUGGUGCUGACUUGAGUUAGCGUGUUUGGGUGCCUAGGGUUAGGCACCGGACGCACGCACCAGACUCACUGGGGUGCGUCCGACCCCAUACCCAGGGAGGUCUGCAUUUUGACCUCGCACCGGACGCGGGCACCGGACCCACCAUGGUGCGUCCGGUCCCGUACCCAGAGAGGAUUGCAUCUUGCCUCUCACCGGACGUGGUCUAGGUGAGUCACCGGACUCAUUGUGGGUGUGUCCCGUGCAUGGCAGGUGCAAGUACAGUUAGCCGCUAAUGGGGCACCGGACGCUCUGCGGAGUGCGUUCGAUGCUCCCGUUUUCUGAGGAAUUCGGGUGGCCGGCCCUUGGACUUGAUGGGGAGUAUUUAUACUCCUCCACCUCGUCCUUGGGAGGUCUCUUGCCCAUUUGAUCAGCUGAGAAACACCUUGUGGUGCAAGAGAGAAGCAAGAGGCUAGAGAGGAUUGAAAAUUGAGUGCUCUCUUAAGUGAAUCCCUCUCUAGUUGAGUUAUAAGAGUUCAAGUGUGCAUCCACCACUCUCUAGAGCCUUGUUUGGGUCAGUGAGAGUUCUUUGCUUGUUACUCUUGGUGAUCGCCAUCACCUAGACGGUUCGGUGGUGAUUGGAGGCACGAAGACUGCCUAGAGUUUUUGUGGGUGGCUCGUGUCAAGCUUGUGAGUGGCUUUGGGCGAUUCACCGCGACGGAGUGUCGAAGAAUCAGCCCGUAGAGAGCAUUUGGUCCUUGCGUGGAUCAAGGGGGAGCAAAGCCCUUGCAUGGGUGCUCCAACGAGGACUAGUGGAGAGUGGCGACUCUCCGAUAUCUCGGCAAAACAUCACCGUGUUCCUUCUUGCUCUCAUCCUUUACUUUCUAGCAUUUACUUUGAGCAUUUUACAUUCUUAGAAUUCCCAUGCUAGAAUAGGAUUUGAACUAGGUUGCAAAACUUUUAUCUAGUAGCUCUCUAGAACACACUUAGGCACAAGGGGUUGAAUUGGAGCUUACAGGUUGCUUAAAUUUUUAGAGAAGCCCAAUUCACCCCCCCCCCCCUCUUAGGUAUCUUGGUCCUUUUAGCCGGGAAGGGAUCCAUUUCGUGCGUGGGCAGGGAGGAGUCUACUGGUCACCAUUCAGUUUGACCCUCCACCGUGUGUCACUGGUCGGUGCCGGCACGCCAUGGAGGAGGUGGUUCCCACCACUCUUCAUAUCCUAGCAUUGAUCUAGUGGAGCCCACCGCAGAUCCGAUAGCUGAAGCCGAGAUCCACGUCCUCUACGUCGCACCAAGGUGCCUGAGUGAAAGAGAAGGGAAAAGAAUAAAUUGCUUGGUCGUACCCACGAGACAUGUCGUCGUCUUUGAGCUGUUGCUCAGCACGCCUUCGUCCCCACCUAGAUGCUUGCCUAUUGAAUGGCAGUGAGCACAUGGGGCUCCCUGUGCUCCAGCAAUGGCGGCAAGCUUGUGCGGUAUCUCGUGCUCUAGCGAUGGCGGCGAGCACUAUGGUGCGACAACCGUGGGGAGAGAGAAAGAGGAGAGAAAGGGAGAGAUGAGAGUACGAGGGGUAAGGCAUUGCACUAGGUUUGGUACACCUCUGUGGGGGGUUGUUCGCAAAUUUCUAGGGGUUUUGUGCAAAACGUUUACGUUAUCAAAGUUUUCAUUCUUUGCAUUGAAAUAAAGGUAUAUAUUGUACGGCGGGUUGAUUUCUAAAAACCUAGUGGGUGUUUUUGCAAAAUGUACAAGUCGAGAUGCGUGUCGUCAUGCUGAGACGCCACCAAUGCUCUGAAUUCUCUCGUGCGAACGAAGUAGAGUGGGUUUUAAUCAACCCCGAUUGACUCACUCUUUCUUGACCUAUUUUCAAUUGACUUGCUCUUUCUUAGCCUUUUAAGUGAGUUCUAGCUUGAGGUGACAUAGUUUGUUCCCUUACUUUAGCUUGUAUGGGACGGUGGAGAAUCCAUAUUGAAUGGACGAGGAAUUGGAUUAGGGAAAGAGAAGGUAACACCCAAAGUAUGUCUCGUCAUCAACAAACGUCAUCAGUCCUAGGCCUGCUAAUGGGGCUAAAUCCGCUCCAAAUCUGCCCUAAUCCACAAAAUUGAAGCUAGCCGACCUUCCUCAACCUACUACAUGCGAAUUUGGGCGAAUACAAGUACUGCCAAAUAAGGCAAUUGGGGUGAAUGCAAGGUGCUGCCAAGGCCUCACUACAUUGAUGCCCUCUAACAUGUUCAUCAUGCCCUGUGCAAGAAGUCAAUGGCGCACAGGUCACUGAUAAACCGACGUUGUGCCUUCUGCAAGAAAUGGCGAAUGGAUAAAAGUUUAAAAAGAACCACUCUCAUAAAAUUAUUAUCCAAAGUAUCAAAUAUACACCACACAAAGCUAGAUCACAAGAAAUGGUGAAAAACUGAAAUUAUCCAAAUAUCCUGGAUCAAACAUGUAGUCUAUGAUUCAGCAUCCUGAAUUUGAAAAUGGAUGAUGCGAACAAUCACCAUUGGAUAUGAAUUUGAAAUGUGUACAGGUACCAAAGGAAUACAUGGAUGACAGCAGGGUGUAUUAUCAAAUACAAAGGAAAUUGUAUGCUGGUGAAGCAGUAGAUCAGGCUCUGCCCGAUGCAAUCUCACUGAUGGGAACUUGUUAUGAGUAAAGGGCUAAAGGCACCAAACAGGGGACAGCACAAGUAGUGCAGCAGAAGGAGAGGAUCUAACUGUAAGUUGGGUUGAUAUGAGAAAGUAGUAGAUCGAUAUAGUACAUGAUACAUGUAAUAUAGGACAAGGGUGGCUUAUAGAAACAGAACCAUUCUCUGAUAUUCAUGUCAAAUACAACUCAAUCUACUGGUGUCUGGACUUGGAGUCCAAGGCAACACAACUAUAGGGGUUGGCCGGCUGUGCUACAUAUAUAUAUAUAUAUAUAUAUAUAUAUAUAUAUAUAUAUAUAUAUAUAGACUAGGUUAAUGCUCGUACGUUGUUACGGGUUUUAAAAUCCACAUACUCUAUGUUUCUUCAUUGUUAUUUUAUUUUUUCUGUCUAUAUUCUUUCUUUUUCAUUUCUUUUCAGUUUUUUGUUUUUGAUUUUAUUUUAUUUUCUGUCCUUUCCUUAUUCUUUUCUUGUUUUAAUUUUACCUUUUAUUUUCUUUUUCUUUUGGUUUUAUUUUAUUGUUCUUCCUUGCUUCUAUUUGUUUUUCUUUUUUCUUUUCAGAUUUUCUAUGUUUCUUCAUUCUUAUUUUAUAUUUUAUUUCCUUUUAAUCUUAUUUUUAUCCUUAUUUAAAUUAUUCAUUAAUUUUAUUUGCUCUAUGCACUUUUUAUCAUUUGUUAAUUAUGUCUAUUUUUAUAUUUUUUUUCUUAGUAAUUUUAUUUUUUAUUUUUAUUUUCUAUAUAUAUGUGAUAUAUAUGUAGUAUAUAUUUAGUGUUCUAUAUUGUGUUAUGUCAUGUUUACGUAAUAUAUAUUUGAUGUUCUAUGAUGUUUCUUACGGUGUUCACUUAGUAUACAUGUAAUCUAUAAUAAAUGUGAUGUUCUAUAAUAUAUUUAAUGAUGUUCUAUGAUAUAUUUAGUGAUGUUAAUGUUCUAUAAAUAUAUUUACGAUAUUUAAAAAGUAACCCUUUGACAUUAUUUGAAAAUUUUCUCCAUUUUGUGUUUUUUUCUUAUGCUUUUUACUCUAGAUUUUUUUUAUUUUUUUAUCUAUGUCAUGUAUUUAUGUAUUUUUAUGUAUAUUGUAAUAUCAGUUUCAUAAACCUAAAACCAAAAUACUAUUCUUCUAAAUCCAUAACAUUUUUUUACAAAGACAGAACAUUGUCUGUUGAACCUAGAAUAUUGUUUGUACUUAAUAAAAUAAAAUAUUUUAUCUUUAAAAGAUAAAUAUUCAUUAAUAAAAUUUUAUCUAAAUAUAUCCAUGUGUGAUCUUGUUUUGAAGGAUUUGUUACAAGAAAUUUAAUGGUACAAUCAGAAUUUAAUUUAUAUACCUAGUUUAGGAGUUAUGACUUUUUUUAAUUCGUUAAAACAAUUUUGCAUGCAUAGGUGAGUGGGGCCUAGGUUGAUGGGAUAGCGUGUCAUCGCGCAGUAAAAAAAGACCACCAAAGGGAUGAAAAUUGUGGACGAGUCCUCUCCAUAAUUUUUAGUUGUAGAGAUAAAUAUUAGUUAAUAAAAUUUUAUCUAAAUAUAUCCAUGUGUGAUCUUGUUUUGAAGAAUUUGUUAUAAGAAAUUUAAUGGUGCAAUCGAAAUUUAAUUUAUAUCUUCGGUUUAAAAGUUAUGACUUUUUUAAAUUUGCUAAAAUAAUUUUGCAUGCAUGGGUGAGUAGGGCCUAGGUUGAUGGGAUAGCCUAUGGGUGUGGUAGAUGGGUCCUUUCCAUAAUUUUUAGUUGUGUGUGUAUAUAUAUAUAUANNNNNNNNNNNNNNNNNNNNNNNNNNNNNNNNNNNNNNNNNNNNNNNNNNNNNNNNNNNNNNNNNNNNNNNNNNNNNNNNNNNNNNNNNNNNNNNNNNNNUAUAUAUAUAUAUAUAUAUAUAUAUAUAUGUAUGUAUAUAUAUAUAUAUAUAUAUAUAUAUAUAUAUAUAUAUAUAUAUAUAUAUAUAUAUAUAUAUAUAUAUAUAUAUAUAUAUAUAUAUAUAUAUAUAUAUGUCUAACAGUAAACAUGAGGGAGCCACAUAUUGUGCUUUUCUGUUAAUAAGGAAAAAAUGUACAUGUACAUGGGUGGACCUCAGGUCCAAAGAGAGAUCUUAAACUGUUUACAGUGAGCAUGACUCUAGCCAAUAUUGAAGUUUGACUAUAAUAUUGAAGUUCUCCUUCAAACCCUUCUUCCAAUGUUGGAAGGCCAGGAUGCAUCGUAUAGAAAUGAUAUCAUGCUUUGAACAGAUUGACCAAUCUAAAAUAUUGAAGUUUUCCUUCAAACCCUUUUUCCAAUGUUGGAAGCCAGGAUGCAUUGGUGGAAAUGAUAUCAUGCUUUGAACAGACUGACCAAUAUGUGAUCAAAACCUCCCUGAUGAUGUGCAAACCAACUAUCCAAGGCCCUGGAGACCCUUAGCCAAUAUGUCAAAAAAAGAGAGUAUAAAUAGGUCACAGAUCCCGAAGCAACAACAUUUCCUGCUGAGCAUGGGAAGAAGAGAUGAAGAACUUGGGACCCUUCUUGAGAUAUAGUGCAGGGGUCAAAAAGUUGUCCGGGUAGAUGUUUUUCCAGAGAAGCAAGUUGAGCAUGUUCAAUCUAUCUUUCAAAAGAUGUCAGAACAAGAACUUGGCCUUGCCAUGGCAACAGGAUUAAAUAACCAAGCAAAGUCUGGAUCAGCCAUGCAAAGAUCCCAAGAACAUUUUGUAGGAUUGUUUAGCGGAGAAAAUUUUAUUUCACAGAUAGGACCCAACUUUCCUUGUCAUCUUGACAAAGUGAAGGCCUCGAGCAUACUCAGAUUUGUAAGCUGAGCCAAAGCUUCCAUGGCAUUGUCAAUGAAUCAUUUGGUUUGCAACAGAAACUGGUGUGCCAAAAGCUUUUAUAUUUUUUUCCAAAAGGAAAGAGCUGGGGAAAAGACCAUUUCAAAAGAACAAAAUCCAUAAUCAAGCUAGAAUCUUGCAGUAGCUCCAUCCCUGAAUUGGCAAGUAGCAAGCAUCCUGAAAUUAUCAAGAAUAAACAGAAGAUCCCACACCACUAAAUGGUGCACACUCAUAUGUCAUUAUCUGAAAUUCAAGUGUUCAAGUACAGAGCUGUCUUAGUAAGGCUAACCCAACAAAGAUAGUGCCAAUUAAUAGAAGGGUCAUAUUUUGAACUAUCAAAUUUAGGAGACCCAGAGGCCUCUGUAUGUAAUUAUGUAUUGGAACACAAUUUGCACUCAAAUUAGAUCAGUAAACUGAUGAUAAGUAAUAAUAACAAAUUCAUGUACUACAAUUAAGGCCUUGUUCAGUUUCCAAAUUUUUUUGUUUCUGGGUCCUGUAGCACUUUCAUUUUUAUUUGGCAAACAUUGUCCAGUCAUGGAGUAACUAAACUCAAAAGAUUCAUCUCGCGAUUUACAGUUAAACUAUGCAAUUAGUUUUUGUUUUCAUCUACAUUUAAUGUUCCAUGCAUAUGCCACAAGAUUCGAUAUGACGGGAAAUUUUAAAAAUUUUUGGGUAGUUUUUGGGAACUAAACAAGACCUAAGCAAUUUAUAGCAUAAUAGAGUAGAUGAGCAAAAUGACCUUUCGGUGAUGUCGAUGGAUUCAACCUCAGAAUUAGAUCUUCAUAGGCCAAUAUCAGUACAAGCUUGGAAGCACCCAAACCUGCUUUCUUAAGGCAUCUAGAUCUGGUGCACCUUGGUAGUCAAUAGUGACGAGUUCAUAAGUGUCAUCAACUAAAGAGUACUCACUCCAACCUGCUGCCCGUGGCAGAGCCUCAUAUAUGCAAUCCCCUCGAAUUCCAGGUGAAUCUGGACCAACCCAAGCAUCAAAGCCAUUGCCAGACAUGAAAAGAGUCCGCCUUCCCAGGGUCAUAGCCCUCAACCACCUUUGCUCUGCAGGUUCCCACCGGAAAACCUUGUACUCAGGCUUGACUGAUACCUUGAAGAUGAGUAAGGGUUCACCAGCACACGCCCCAAGCAUGAAAUCCUUGCUUUCCAUCCAAGCAUCUCUGACAUGGUCAUCCACUUCCCCUCCAAGCAGCUUUAAUUCAACCUUAUUGUCCAUCAGCUCUGCGACUGCGAGCUGGCACGUGUUGAGGAGCGCAUAUAGGACGCCAUUGACAGCGAGCAUGCCGACCAUCAUAUACAGGCCACCGAAGAGGCUGCCACCGCAGCCCCCGAGCCGGCAAUACGCCUCCCGCCAUCGGCCGUCCCCCAGGCGGCAGUACUGAACCCACCCAGGUGUGAUGAGGAGGACGAGGUCGCCGGCGAGGACUGCGCGGGAGAACAGGAAAGGAGCAUCGGGGACGCGAACCCGGUCGCCGGAAAGAAGGUGGAUGACGGAGAGCUCGCGGGCAAAGUGGUCAAAGGUGACGACGCGCGCGCCGUCGGAUGCAACGACGGCGCUGGGGAAAGGGGAGGGCGCACGGAAGCGGAGGAGGCGGCGGCGCGGGAGGUGGAUGAGGGCCAGCGAGCACGGGGAGGAGGCGUGGUGGGGCACGAGUAGAUGCGGCGGCUGGGACGCGAGGACGGCGCGGGAGGGUGGCAGCGCGGCGCGGUAGGAGCGGCAGGCGGCGCGGAGGGCGAAGAAGUCCUGGAGCGUCGUCAAGUGCCGCGCGAUGUCCGGUAUGAGCUCCGCCGGUAGGUACGGCGCCGCGGCGACGAGGCGCUUGUCCUCAGCCAUCUGAUGGGAAGGAAGGAUUGCGAGGUGGGGACCAGGCGGCGACGGCGGUGGCGAUGUCGCCGGAUCUGAGGAGUGAUUAUUCUAGAAUUUUUUUUAUUUUUAGUCCAAAUUUAAAACAAAUUUCGAAUUUAACCCGCUUUGGAAAGUAUUUUCAGAAAUAGACCGUUUGGUCCCGCUACCAUGUAUGGCGGCGGAGUAGGACAGCCACAUGGUGCUCGGUUGGCGGGGCUGGCUUACGUGGACCCCGCCACCAGGGAUGGCGGGUUAGGGCACCCCGGCUUACGUGGACCCCGCCACCAGGGAUGGCGGGUUAGGGCACCCCGCCGCCUAUUAUGGCGGGUUACAACCCACCGCGUAUCAUGGCGGGAUACCCUGUCAGAGAAAAUGACCCGCUCUUUGUGUCUACUCCCAGGCCCCCGCCCUUUCUGUCUGAUUUCAAAUAAAUUUAUUAAAAAUUUAAAUUUAAAUAUCUAUUUAAUGAUAUUAAUUUUAUAUUAUAAAUAUUAAUAUUUUAAAUAUAUCUGUAAUUAAAGUUAUUUUUCAAUAAGAAAAAAUAACAGAUUUAAAAACAGAGACAUGAGUGGCGCAGCAGUGCGCACAGUGCUGCCGCACACUGCUGUACAGUACCGCUGCACAGUGCGGGGAGAUUUGUGCGCAGUGGUGUCCUAUGCUACCUCUUCAUUCUUAAAUAUUUGGUGUUUUCGCUUCUAAAAAAACUUUGAUUAAAUAUUUAUUAAAAAUAUUAAUAUAUAUAAUAUAAUAUUAGUAUCAUUAGAUAGAUAUUUAUAUCUAAUUAUUUAAUAAAUUUAUUUGAAGUUAGAAAUAUUGCAUAUAUUUUUUGUAAACCAGCUAAAGUUAGUAUCAUGAAAAAUUUUAGGGUUUUAAAAGAAAACAAAGCCGUAGACUAGAAAGAGGAGUAGUCUGGUAUGCUAACCAAGCAGCAGCCGGCGACGCCCAGCAGCAGCAAAGGCUGCCAGGAGCCCACGACCCUCGCCCUUGUUUAGUUUCCAAAAGAGCGUCUCUUUUUUUUCAUUAUCUUCUGUGGGGGCAACUCAUCAUCAUUUGCCCGUUUAGUUGGUAAUAAAUAAAGGCUUUGUCAAAAAUUUUAGGUAGUAGCGUAGCAUUUUCGUUUUUAUUUAACAAAUAUUGUUUAAUUAUGGAAUAGGCUUAAAAGAUUUAUCUCGUAAAUUAUAGUUAAACUAUAUAAUUAGUUUUUAUUUUUAUCUAAAUUUAAUACUUUAUGCAUGUGUCGCAAGAUUCGAUGUGAUAUGAAUCUUGAAAUUUUUUGAUAACUAAACAAAGCCAAAGUGUUGUCACCUACAUAGUCUCCUCAUCAGUCAUCGUACAGUACAUGCAUGCAUAGCGGCAGCUUUCCUAGCAACAACACGUGACAGGAGAGCACAGUGAACCGCCGCGCCGGGUCGUGGUCUGGUGGUGUUCAGGCCUAUGAUGAUGUUCAGGGGCUAUACAUGCAUAUGAUGAUGUUUUGUUUAGUUCCUAAAAUUUUUAAGAUUCCUCGUCACAUCAAAUUUUACGGUACAUGCAUGGUAUAUUAAAUAUACAUGAAAAUAAAAACUAAAUGUACAGUUUAUUUGUAAAUCGUGAGACAAAUUUUUUAAGCCUAGUUACUUUAUAAUUAGACAAUAUUUAUCAAAUAAAAAUAAAAAUACUACAAUGUUGAAAUCUAAAAAUUUUGUGAACUAAACAAGGCGUCAGGCUGGCCCGUGUUGCUGCUGCUGCCUGCUGCAUGCAAAGACCGGCCAUGAUGCAAUGACCUUGGCCUUGUUUAGUUGCGAAAAAAUUUCGGAUUUUGGCACUAUAGUAUUUUCGUUUUUAUUUGACAAAUAUUAUCCAAUCAUGGACUAACUAGGUUUAAAAGAUUCAUCUCGUGAGUUACAGGCAAACUGUGCAAUUAGUUUUUAUUUUCGUCUAUAUCUAAUGCUUCAUUCAUGUGCUCUAAAAUUUCAUAUGACGGAAAAUCUUAAAAAGUUUUUAAUUUUUAGGGUGAACUAAAACAAAGCAUGCAUAGCGGCAUAGCCUGACACCGGCUUUCUACUGAACCCGCCAUGAUCCACGGCGGGGUCAGCUAACCCGCCAUGGAUCGUGACGGGGUCCACGUCAGCACGGGCUGGCAGGUGGUAGCCACGUGGCAUCUCUACUCCGCCGCCAUGCAUGGCGGGGUACUGUGUAUUUGCCCCGCCAUGCAUGGUGGCGGGGCCAAACGGCCUAGUUUUAAAAAUAAAUUCAUAACCGGGUCAAAAUUGAAAUUUGUUUCAAAUUUGAGCUAAAAAUAAAAAAAAUUCUUAUUCUAUGGGCAUGACACCGUGAUUUGUUAGAACAAGAGUAAUCCUAUACAACCCGACAGUUGGUUGAUAUUUUUACCAUGAAUGUUAAAUUAGACAUUAGAAUUAUAAAUUUUUAUAGGUCCUCAAAAGAAGUUAUGGCCCACAACCAAUUAACUUGAUAUUUAAAUUUAGCUACAUGAAUAGUAUGAAAAUUAAACUUAUGAUAUACUCCCUCCGUCCCCAAAUACUGUUAUUUCUAACAGAUUUUAGACAGAUUAGUGUGGCAAACAAAAGACCAUUCUACCCUCAAUUAAUUUGGGUUCCACCAUUUAAUCAUACACGUUAAGCCAAGGUUCUCUGGUUCCAACGAGCUGCAUUUAAUGCCAACUAAACAGAUGUCGAGGAUAUCAGUAAGGGGUACCCUAACUCAUGUGCAUAACAAGAAUACCCGUACGCAAGUCGAGGCCUCCAACUCGACGCCCUACCCCGUUAUACGCACGGUCCUCGACGGUCCCCGGCAACCGUAGCCUCGAACACGGAAAGAGCGUCCUGCGAAUCAACCAGGGCUCGAGCGUCGGCCACCGUCGAAUACGGAAACAGCUCGAGCGAAUCGGAAGGCGUCGAGCGCAAGGACGCCGCCCGCCGCCUGAUGCGGGCACGAGAACCAGGGCAUUUACUGCGCCUGUCGCGUUCUCACCUAACCCGCCAGUCACGGGAAGCGUGAUAGGGAGCAGGCACCCGUCCUGUCAUUCUUUUUGCAGCCUUCCUCACCAAACAAGCCAGAACGUGGCAGGGCGCAGGGAGUGGGUCGGAACGUCUAAUCAAGGCCUCCCUCGAGACGCCCAAGGUCAGCGCUCUGGCUAGCAAGGCGUUACACGACAUCCGAUUCUCGAGUAGGCACGUUUCCUUCCUGGGAAAGGGUCGGGCGUCGAAUGACAACACUACAACCACUCCGACGUAUCUGCCACCAUGACGUACAAGCGUGCAACGGAUAAACCGGUCCAGGAGCGGCGCACAGAGCGGGAUACUGGGGCACGCGUAAUCAUCAUCAAGGUACCGAGACAAGAUGGCUCGAGACCACGCCGGUACGGAGGCCUCGAGUAGGUCAGCGCGCCAUACCUCUAUCGACCCCUACUCUGACGCCUAUACAUGUACCCUAGACCCCUCCUUGGAACUAUAAAAGGGGAGGCCUGGGAGCGGAUACAGGACACGCGAUACAAAAACAACCCAACACGCAAGCCAUACGUAGUAGAGCGAACUCACUCCAUCUCCAUCCAUACCACGCUUGUAUUCACCCCUAUACAAGCACUUAGGUGCAGAAUAAUACAAACUCUCCCCCCCCCGCUGGACGUAGGGCCUUCUCUUGCCCGAACCAGGAUAAAUCUUUGUGUCUUUUUGCAUCACCAUCUGGAAAAGGGAGCACGCAUCCAAGUUUUACUCGUUGGUGUGACCCCCAGGGGGGAAAACACCGAUAGUUGGCACGCCAGGUAGGGGUCCUGCGUGUUUUUCACCGAUUUCCCAUUCCUUUCCAGAUGGCCACUCUCGUUUCGCCGAUUCCGCGCUCCACGGUGAUUUGGUUCAAGAGCCUCGAGUUCAUGUCUACAGGUUUUGGCUAUGACAUGAUCUUGCUCUCGGACAAAGGACCGGGAGGAGCUCGCGUUACACCAGCACGAUUGAGGGCUCUGAGACGUCCUCACCACCAUGCCUCCCCGCCCAAGAAGAGGCGUGGACAGCACCACCAUCACCCCUCUGCCUCCACUAUGCCAAAAAAGCUAAUUAGUGACGCGUCUAGAUGAUCUUUAGUGACGCGGAAAGCACGCGUCACCUUUAUCACGUCUCUGAUGUAAAUAUAUCAGUGACGCGUGUACACGCGUCACUGAUAUAAAUUACCAGUGACUCGUCUUCACUACACGAGUCACUGAUAUGAAUUUUCAGUGACACGUCUUUACUACACGUGUCACUGCUCUGAACAUACCAGCGACGCGUAUUGGCUAUACGCGUCACUAAACUUUAUAUAGUAGUGACGCGUUAAUAGAAACUGAGUCACUGGUAAGGUCAUUUUAGUGACGCGUUUUAGUUUUGAGUCACUAUUGAGGAGUCACUAAUUAGCUUUUUUGGCAUAGUGCUCAUCACGAUCGCCAGUUCGCGCCAGGCGGAAGGUGAUCCAGGAGCCGACAGCUCCGCGCGCCAAAACUGCGGGCACGAUGGCCCGACGCCACAAAAACCACGCAACGACGACGGGAGAUAGCGUGCCUUUGCGCACUCUCGCCCGCCACGACGCUGCUUCCACACGGGUUGUUCGCCACAAGAAGAGCGUUGCCGUUCGGGCUGGACAACGCCGCAGCAUCGCUCGCCAGGACGAUAUGUCCAAACGCCCAGACGUACAUGGAAAGACCGAUGGUCCUCCCACGCGACAAUGGAGCACGGCCACAGACGUCCGAGCUGCCAGACUUCUCGCAGGUACGAGCCCUUCGCCGCCUAGGCCCUGGGCGGUACACGAUUACCUCCCUCAGGUAGCGGCUGCUGGAGGAAGGACGUGGAUGCUUCUACGCCACCGAGUCGGACUCCGGCUCUGAGUCCGACAGCUGCGACCCUACUAGGGAGUGCUUCCAUAUCGACGGAGCGGUAGAAACUACCGACGAGACGCAAGACGCCGUUGCUGGCGGUCGAACCCCUGCAGCGAGGGAAGACCCCAGGACGCCUGGGAACGACGGACAGGUCGACCCACCUCCACAAGAAGAUAGAGCCGCACAACUUGCGCAGCUACGAGAGCUCAAGACAAAACUUGACGAAGAUCGUUUGCGCCUCGUCCUGCUCGAGCAAAUCCUUGAGCAGGACCUGCCAUACCCGCCUGGCGGAAGUGUCCCCAGAAGGGCUCGAGAGGUACAUUGACAGAUCGUCGGGGACGGGGAGCCAGAACAACCUGUCAGCCGCUUCCCUCAAGCAGGCCAGAACGUUGUGGCAGCAACGAUGUUGUUGCGUAACAUGCCCGAGCCCUCGAACUCCCAAGCACGGCGCAUCCGAGACGAGGUGCAAAACUCUGCUCCAGGUGGCGGCAGUUUAGCAAGCAGAGAGCUCGGCCUCCCGACGUCGAGGGGUAGCUACAGAAAAGCGUGAUGAGCCAGCCCAGAACGAAAAAGAGGUGUCAGUCCAUCAGCAGCCACCUUCUCGAGGGAAAAAGACAGCGCUCGUCCUCCACCAUCCCGUCGACAACCAACAACGACACGACGCACGACGCGACAUCGACGAAAAUCGUCGCCGUCAGUAUGGGGACGCAGAAGAGCAUGGCUACAGCGCCCACCGCGGCGGGAGAUACGACAGCGACGAGGACCGGAUGGCCCCGAAACCACCGGGCCCUCGGGUGUUCAGCAGAGCGAUCCGCAGCACGCCGCUGCCUAGCCCGUUUCGACCCCCCACUAGCAUUGCUAAAUACAAUGGUGAAACUAAGCCAGAACUGUGGCUGGCGGACUUCAGGCUAGCCUGUCAGCUGGGAGGCGCUCGGGGGGACGAUCGAGCCAUCAUCCGACAACUACCACUCUUCCUGUCCGACACCGCCCGUAGAUGGCUCGAGGAGCUUCCAGCCAACCAGAUCCACGACUAGAUUGAUUUGGUCAGGGUAUUCGAGGGUAACUUCAAAGGGACCUACAUACGGCCCGGCAACUCGUGGGACCUCAGCAAGUGCAAGCAGAAGUCAGGAGAAACACUUCGAGAGUAUGCUCGACGCUUCUCGAAGCAGCGCACCGAGCUGCCGCACAUCCCUGACCACGACGUCAUCCUGGCCUUUGUCUCAGGCACCACCAGCCGAGAUUUGGUGCGGGAGUUUGUCGAUGAAAGCUGGUUGGCAGUCUACCUUGGGAUAUACCCACGGUAGUAGUUUAUCGGUAGACGGUGCGCAAGCUACGAACUCGAUGGUGACGCAAGACACGGACAAGCUUUUUAUCCAGAUUCGGCCGCCGUGUGUGCGUAAUACCUACGUCCUGCGUCUGAUUGUAUUGGAUUGUGUUGAGAUAAUAAUGUGUCCUAAGGGGGUUCCCUUGCCCCUCCUUAUAUAGUCCGAAGGGCAGGGUUAAAGAUCUGGAAACUAAUCCUAAUCGGUUACAAUUGCCAUAGAUAGUUCGAUAUCAAUUCCUAUUCUAACCGACUAGAAUCCUGCUUGAUCUCCACGUCUUGUUUCCUUGCAUGAAACUCCGAGCAGUCGGAUCAAGCCUCGAACUUGUCUCGUAAUGGGCCAAACCUCCUGGCCCAAGUCUAGCCGUAAGGGUAUAGGGGUUUAUACCCCCACAGCUAGUCCCCGAGCACCGUGUAUUGUGAUGUAACACGCCAUCUUAAGCUUCUUCGAUCAGCAAAGCUUGACAUUUUCGAUUAGCAUGAAAGCCGCCCAAACAGUUGCAACAGUAUUUUGACCAACUCAAAAGAUAGUUGAUCAACAUCGUCAUCGAAGGAGCAGGUUGUUCGAAGAAUGCAUGGUGCUCUUGAGAAAAAAUAUUUCUUUUCUCGAUGAAGUGUGCCCACUUUACUUUUUUUAAAAGUAUAGUCUUUCAAAAAGCAAGCAUAUUCACCGCAAGGUGAAGUGUGCCCACUUAGUCCCCGAGCCUGGUAGUAGGUGACGUAGGCACGUGGUGCCAGGGUCAAAAAAAGUCUUCAUAGAAAUUCUAAAACUGAAAUGCACCGCCAGAUGCAUCGUACGGAUGUAGUCCCCGAGCUUGCUGGAAGGCGAAGUAUGAGUCUUGUAGCAAGGUCUAAAAAAUUAAAAUUAUCCAGUCCCCGAGCAUAUCAUGCUCGUUUGCCAUCGUAUAGACUUAUCAACCAGUCCCCGAGCAGAUAACGCAUGAUGGUUGGUACAGUCCCUAGUUCUUCGAACUAGCAGACUAGUCGACCAGCCCCCAAGUGUGCAGUGCUCAGUGGUUGGUACAGUCCCCAGAUCUCCAAACUGGCAGACUGGUCGACCAGUCCCCGAGCAUACAGUGCUCGGAGGUCGGUGCAGUCCCCAGAUCUCCAAACUGGCAGACUGGUCGACCAGUCCCCGAGCAUAUAGUGCUCGGUGGUUGGUGCAGUCCUCAGAUCUCCAAACUGGCAGACUGGUCGACCAGUCCCCGAGCAUACAGUGCUCGGUGGUCGGUGCAGUCCCCAGAUCUCCAAACUGGCAGACUGGUCGACCAGUCCCCAAGCAUACAGUGCUCGGUGGUCGGUGCAGUCCCCAGGAACGUUGAUACUCCACCAAUUUUUGUCUUUUAUUUGAAAAAAGCAUCUUUUCGCAUUAAUGUGUGAUGUGACGAGACAUCCUGGCACGUUAUCAGAUGGCUGUGUGAAAAGGUACGCCUGGCAACUGUACAGCCGCUCUUUGCGCGGUUCAAGAAAAGGAAACCAUCAAUUGUAUAAAAAAUCCACCGUAUUAACUGCCGGUAAUUGUUGAAAACCGAAACGUCGUAUCCGCCGCUGGGCCCGCUCGCUUCCCAAGAAUGCGGGAAGUGGAAGGGGUGGAGCCGUUGUCUAUAAAGGCUUGACUCUUCGCCCAUAAUCGUUACCUUGCCAUUGCUUUCAAGCCCUCUGUUCUUGAUGAGGACAUCACUCCUUCGGAUGCACACGAUGAUCCUACGCUGGAUUUUCAAGGUCCAAUCACAAGAGCUCGCGCGCGACAACUAAAUUUACAGGUGAGCUCGUUCCUAAGCAAGUCUUUAUAUGAUUUUGAGAAUAGAUUGCUACCUAAUGAUUAUAUUGUGCUUAGGAAUCAUGGAGAGGACCAGGGGAUGCAUAAGGGAGGGCUUGGAGGCGUGGAGGACCAGCAAGGGCGCCCAAGUCAAGGUGGAGGCCCAAACCAAGUCGACUUCGAGCCUGUUUCGGAGUCCAGGACCAGCGAGGAGUAAAACAGACGCCCAGGACGCAUCCGGACUCCGUUUUCGACGAUCCACCCAUGGUUGGAAAGAUAAUUUCAUAAGGAAACCAAUGGCAUUGGUUUGAGGUCCAAAUUCCUUCUGAGUCAUUGGGAAACGUCAAAACAAGUCAGCGUCCAGAAUCUGUUCCAGUGCUGCGUCACCGUUUUUGGUCUGUUGGGCCGUGUAUCGUCGUUGAGCCCAUUAGGGGGGCGUGUCCAGGGGUGGCGACGACCCUUAGACCUCUAUAACCAGCCGCCGCCACUCUCAUUAGGUUUUGGGUUUUGCUUAGAUUAUUCUGUCAAGAACAGUUUUGCCGCCGCGUCGGUUUGUGAGACUCCAACUCGUGAGAUUAAUCAUUCAUCUGCAAUUUGGUUGCAUUCUCUCUUAUUUUUGCUUGUGUUCUUCGAUUUGCAGGCAAAGGACUCAGCCUUCUUGGCGAGGUCGACCGUGCAUCGACGGUCGAUAACUAGAGGAGACGUGGUGCUGCGAUUGUGGGGUUUCAGGACCGAAUUGUUCGGAAGCCGGAUCAAAUUGUGUCGCGACUCCACCAAAUCGAGAGUUAUCAGAACCUUUCGGAAGAUCAGGAACCCUAGUUCACAUCAAGUGGUAAUCAGAGCCUCAGGUUUACCGUCAGGUUCGCCCUUAUCCUAGUUUAGUUGUGUUUCACUUUGUCCUAAAAAUCCAAAAAAAUUGCCCUACAAAAAUACUUGUGUUCAUCUUUGUUUUCCCCAAGUCCUAUCACCCGUUGUGGCCGUGCAAUAAUUUUAUUUCAGUUUGCUUUAUUGAACGGUCGUCCCUCGUUAUGUCAUUGUGUUCGUUGGUUUAGAUAAGUCUAGGUCUGGUUUGUUGACGUCCAUCAGUUUGAUCACACCUUUAUUUUUAUUUUUUUUCUGUCAGCAAAUCGUGCUCUGGUUUAUCUGGUACUUUGUACAUUGCGGCAUAUUCUGUAAAAAGAAAAAGAAAGAGCCACACAAAAAAAAGUAAAAGGCAACGAGCUGCCAAAAAAAAAGAGAGAGUAAAAGCCGCAGCAAAAAAAAUAAAAUAAAAAAAAAGUGAAAAGAAUUUCAGAAGUGCUUGCAUCCUUUGAGUCUCCACGCCGAGUUGUAUUGUUGCUUGCUUGAACUAGGUCUUGGAUAAGUUUAGGCCGGCGACAUAGACUAGCUUGGGACUACUUUUCAAUCUUGAAAUUUCUAAAUUAAAUUAUUGCUAUUCCUUGCUACUAUAUUUUAAGCCUUCCUAGAGCUCCACAUAUUGCUUCUGGACAACACAAGUUUUGACCCCGUAAUCUCAGCGCUACGUCUUCCAAGUAUCCGUGCCUUGCUGGUAAGAACCGGUCGGAACUUGUUAAGGUGUUCCAUUUGCUGUGAUUUUUGAGGCACCACUCCACCUGAGUAGUAGGAUUAUUAGGGAUAAUUUUUACUGUUUGUUGCUUGUGUUUUGUGUCUACAAUGGCAGGUGACGACGGAGAAGAUAAUUCACCCAAAGAGUUUUCAGAGUGUGUCAGCCAAGAGCAACUACAAUCGGUUUUAACCAAUGCUCAGAAAGAUAUGAACGAGACAGUAACAAAGGCUGUAACUGCAGCACUCAUUGACCUCAAGAUCGGCAACACCCUUGAGAGAUUGGACAAACGACUGUCCGCUCUAACUGAUAGGGUAACUGCCUUAGAAGCCAGGCCACCACCCGAAGAAGAUAUUGAUGGCAGCGACGCUGGUGAUGAGGUAUAUGAUGCCGAUGGCAAGAUUGAUCGAGCAGCGACAAUGAGAAACAGAUUACGUCAUCGUCUUCACACAAACACCACAGGUAUGGGUGGCGCUCAACAUUUCAACCGCCAUCGAGGUAAUCGUACUCAUGCUCCCGAUGAUCCUUAUGCUAAGGUUAAAUUUACAAUACCUUCCUGUUCGGGACAUUAUGAUGCUGAGGAAUACCUAGAUUGGGAGAUGACAGUAGAGCAAAAAUUUAGUGCCCACCUUGUGCCUGAGCAACAUCACAUUAGACAAGCCACUAGUGAAUUUAAAGAUUUUGCUAUCAUUUGGUGGACUGGUUUAGUUGCAGAUAAUUGCCAACCUAGAACUUGGGAAGAACUUAAGGUUGCUAUGCGUGAUAGAUUUGUGCCUCCAUCAUAUCAUAGAGACCUACGUAAGAGACUGAUGCGUUUAGAACAGGGAGAUAAAUCCGUGCAGAAUUACUAUGGUGAGCUCCAAAAAGGUUUGAUGUGUUGUGGCAUAGUAGAGGGACCCGAGGAUUCGAUUGUUCGUUUUUAUGCAGGUUUGAGGGAGGAAAUUCAGGACAUAGUUGAUUAUAAGGAAUUUAACACUAUCAACCAGUUGUUUCAGUUUGCUAUGCUUGCAGAGAAGGAGUUGCAGGGGCGUGACAAGCAGGGCAAGAGAAAGGGUGGUACCUCAUACACACCGCGCAUGGGGCCAUCUUCCGGGCUUCCCAAGGCAUCCUCUUUUCGGGCGCCUCUACCAGCAAGCAAGCAGACGCCUUCUUCCCAACCUUCCGGGUCAGGUAAAAAUUCUGUGCAGGAACCUUCGAAGAGUGCAUCCUCCAUUGCCUCAACGGGACGCACUUCUGGCAUUCAGUGCCACCGCUGCCAUGGAUAUGGACAUGUGCAAAAAGACUGCCCAAGUAAGCGGGCAUACAUUGCUACAGAAGAUGGGUACAUCAGUACCUCUGACGUUGAAGAUGAUGAAGAAGAAGAACCUAUUCAGAGAGACGGCGAGGUCUUUGGUAGCGGGGACACUUCAGCCUACAUGAGCAUCAUUGUGCAGCGAGUGCUCCCGCACAAGUACAACAACCUGAGAAGCUACAACGCCACAAUUUGUUCCAAAUUUUCUUUGUCAUCAACAACCGACGAGCACGUGUCAUCAUUGAUGGGGGUAGCUGCAAUAAUUUGGUGAGUUCAGAUUUGAUCAAGAAGCUUGGUUUGACCACGCGCCCACACCCCCAUCCGUACCAUAUUCAGUGGUUGAAUGAUUCUGGUAAGGCUAAGGUAACAAAAACUUGCAGAGUUUCUUUUUCCAUUGGUACCUAUGUUGAUUCUGUUAAUUGUGAUGUAGUACCUAUGGAAGCUUGUUCACUUUUAUUGGGUCGUCCUUGGGAAUUUGAUAAUGAUGCUAUACACCAUGGUAGAAGUAACACAUACACUUUUGUUCAUAAAGGAAAGAAAAUUACUUUGAUACCAAUGACCCCUGCUGAAAUUGUACAGGCUGAUAAAGAACGAGCUGCUAGUUUGCAUGAUGUUAAAUCUGAAAAUCAGCAGGUUGCUAAUUCUGUUUACCCACCUAAAAAUGAUAAGUCGACACCUAAUUCUAAGGCCGAGGAAAUUAAAUUGAAGGGUGCAGUUAUGCUUGCAAUAAAAAGUGACCUUGCUGAAAUUUCUGAUGAUGAUAUUUGCUACAGUUUGGCUUGCAAACGAGUCUUGUUUUCGCUUGAUGAUAAUGUUGGCUCGAUACCUCCUGUUGUCACUAGCCUUUUGCAGGAGUAUGAGGAUGUUUUUCCAGUUGAGAUACCCCCGGGGCUGCCACCUAUGAGAGGAAUAGAGCAUCAAAUUGAUUUGAUCCCGAGAGCAACAUUGCCAAACCGAGCUGCUUAUCGAACCAACCCCGAGGAGACUAAGGAAAUUCAGCGACAAGUCCAAGACCUUUUGGACCGUGGGUAUGUACGAGAAAGCCUUAGUCCUUGUGCCGUUCCUGUGAUUUUGGUUCCUAAGAAAGAUGGUUCAUGGCGUAUGUGUGUUGAUUGUAGAGCCAUUAAUAAUAUUACUAUUCGAUAUCGUCAUCCUAUUCCUAGGCUUGAUGACAUGCUUGAUGAGUUAUGUGGCUCUGUCAUUUUCACAAAGGUUGACUUGCGUAGUGGCUACCACCAAAUUAGAAUGAAACUUGGCGAUGAAUGGAAAACAACUUUCAAAACUAAAUUUGGAUUAUAUGAGUGGUUAGUAAUGCCUUUUGGUUUAACUAAUGCACCUAGUACCUUCAUGAGAUUGAUGAAUGAAGUUUUAAGAGCUUUUAUUGGGCGAUUUGUGGUGGUUUACUUUGAUGAUAUAUUGAUUUAUAGCAAGUCUUUGGAUGAACAUAUGGAUCACUUACGUGCUGUUUUUAAUGCUUUACGUGAUGCACAUUUAUUUGGUAACCUUGAGAAGUGCAUCUUUUGCACGGAUCGAGUCUCUUUUCUUGGCUAUGUUGUUACUCCACAGGGAAUUCAAGUGGAUGAGCUAAAAAUUGAAGCCAUAAAGAGCUGGCCGGUUCCCCAAACCAUCACACAGGUACGAAGUUUUCUUGGUCUUGCAGGUUUCUAUCGUCGCUUCGUCAAGGAUUUUAGCGCCAUUGCUGCACCCUUGCACGAGUUGACAAAGAAAGGUGUGGUGUUCAAAUGGGGUAAGGCACAAGAGGAGUCCUUUGACACUUUGAAGGACAAGCUUACACACGCGCCAUUGCUACAACUUCCAAACUUUGGUAAGACUUUUGAGCUAGAAUGUGAUGCUAGUGGCGUUGGCAUUGGAGGUGUGUUGAUGCAAGAAGGUAAGCCCGUUGCAUACUUUAGCGAAAAAUUGCAUGGCCCUGUUCUUAAUUACUCAACGUAUGAUAAGGAAUUGUAUGCACUUGUACGUUCUUUAGAGACGUGGCGUCAUUAUUUGUGGCCUAAGGAAUUUGUUAUACAUUCAGAUCAUGAAUCGCUUAAGUAUCUUCGAUCUCAAAAUAAUCUAAAUCGUAGACAUGCUAAGUGGGUUGAAUUUAUUGAAUCUUUUCCUUAUAUUAUCAAACACAAGAAAGGAAAGGAUAAUAUAAUUGCUGAUGCUUUGUCUCGACGAUAUGCUUUACUGUCCCAACUUGAUUGUAGAAUUUUUGGGCUUGAAUCAAUAAAAGAACAAUAUGUGUUUGAUCCUGAUUUUAAAGAUGUGUAGCUGAAUUGUAAAGAGGGUCGUACAUGGAACAAGUUUGUGAUCAAUGAUGGAUUUGUGUUUAGAGCUAACCGUCUGUGCAUUCCAGUCGGUUCCGUUCGUCUGUUGUUGUUGCAGGAAGCGUACGGAGGAGGACUGAUGUGCCAUUUUGGUGCUAAGAAGACGGCGGAUAUUUUGGCCACACACUUCUUUUGGCCACAGAUGAGGAGAGACGUUGAGCGGUUCGUGGCACGCUGCACCACAUGUCAAAAAGCUAAGUCUCGCCUAAAUCCACAUGGUUUGUAUAUGCCUCUUCCUGUUCCUUCUAUUCCUUGGGCAGAUAUUUCGAUGGACUUUGUUUUGGGAUUGCCUAGGACUAAGAGGGGGAGGGAUAGCAUUUUUGUUGUUGUGGAUCGAUUCUCUAAGAUGGCACAUUUUAUACCAUGUCAUAAAAGUGAUGAUGCCAUUUAUAUUGCUGACCUUUUUUUCAAAGAGAUUGUUCGCUUGCAUGGUAUGCCUUCUACUAUUGUUUCAGAUCACGAUGCUAAAUUCUUGAGUCACUUUUGGCGUACUCUAUGGAACAAGUUGGGUACAAAACUGUUGUUUUCAACAACUUGUCACCCACAAACCGAUGGACAAACGGAGGUAGUGAACCGUACUUUGGGCACCAUGUUGAGAGCUGUUUUGAAAAAAAUUUGAAGAUGUGGGAAGAAUGAUUGCCUCAUGUGGAGUUUGCUUACAAUCGGGCAACACAUUCUACCACGAAGGUAAGUCCUUUUCAGAUAGUGUAUGGUUUUAACCCCUGUGCUCCCAUUGAUCUUUUGCCUUUACCUACCAAUGAAAGAACACAUAGUGAUGCUAGUGCACGUGCUGAAUUUAUUCGUAAGUUGCAUGCAACCACUAAAGAAAAUAUUGAAAAGAUGAAUGAAAAGUAUAGAAUUGCUGGUAGUGAAGGUAGAAAAGAGGUUAAACUUGAACCGGGUGAUUUAGUAUGGUUACAUUUGAGAAAAGAUAGGUUUCCAGAGCUGCGUAAGUCAAAAUUAAUGCCAAGAGCUGCUGGUCCUUAUAAAAUUAUUGAGAAAAUAAAUGACAAUGCAUACAAACUUGAGUUGCCACCCGAGUUCGGGGUUAGUCCUUCUUUCAACAUUUCAGAUUUGAAGCCAUAUUUGGGAGAAGAAGAUGACCUUGAGUCGAGGACGACUCCAAUUCAAGAGGGGGAGGAUGAUAAGGACAUCACUCCUUCGGAUGCACACGAUGAUCCUACGCUGGAUUUUCAAGGUCCAAUCACAAGAGCUCGCGCGCGACAACUAAAUUUACAGGUGAGCUCGUUCCUAAGCAAGUCUUUAUAUGAUUUUGAGAAUAGAUUGCUACCUAAUGAUUAUAUUGUGCUUAGGAAUCAUGGAGAGGACCAGGGGAUGCAUAAGGGAGGGCUUGGAGGCGUGGAGGACCAGCAAGGGCGCCCAAGUCAAGGUGGAGGCCCAAACCAAGUCGACUUCGAGCCUGUUUCGGAGUCCAGGACCAGCGAGGAGUAAAACGGACGCCCAGGACGCAUCCGGACUCCGUUUUCGACGAUCCACCCAUGGUUGGAAAGAUAAUUUCAUGAGGAAACCAAUGGCAUUGGUUUGAGGUCCAAAUUACUUUUGAGUCAUCAGGAAACGUCAAAACAAGUCAGCGUCCAGAAUCUGUUCUAGUGCUGCGUCACCGUUUUUGGUCUGUUGGGCCGUGUAUCGUCGUUGAGCCCAUUAGGGGGGCGCGUCCAGGGGUGGCGACGACUCUUAGACCUCUAUAACCAGCCGCCGCCACUCUCGUUAGGUUUUGGGUUUUGCUUAGAUUAUUCUGUCAAGAACAGUUUCGCCGCCGCGUCGGUUUGUGAGACCCCAACUCGUGAGAUUAAUCAUUCAUCUGCAAUUUGGUUGCAUUCUUUCUUGUUCUUGCUUGUGUUCUUCGAUUUGCAGGCAAAGGACUCAGCCUUCUUGGCAAGGUCGACCGUGCAUCGACGGUCGAUAACCAGAGGAGACGUGGUGCUGCGAUUGCGGGGUUUCAGGACCGAAUUGUUCGGAAGCCGGAUCGAAUUGUGUCGCGACUCCACCAAAUCGAGAGUUAUCAGAACCUUUCGGAAGAUCAGGAACCCUAGUUCACAUCAGUUCUUGCCAUUCCUUCCUCUGCAACCUCCAUCCCUGAUCAUCCAGCUUGCGAGUGCUUCAGCAGCUUCAAUGGCAAAGAGCGACUCGAAGAAAAGGAGUGAGCUGAUGGCGAAGGAGUGGAAGAAAUCCCGGAGCAGCGCUAGGUCUCUGAACGAUCUCGUCGGCAUGGGGCUGCUGCACAGCCAAGAGCUCGGUGGCUGGAGGGCGCCGGAAGGGGAGAGUUAUCUCGACCCUCGUGCUGGUGAGAUCGUUGUUUUUGAGGAUUUUUUCAAGAGGGGCUUUGGGAUUCCUGUCCAUCCUUUUCUCUCCAGGGUCUCCUUCUUUACUACGAGAUCGGGAUCUGCAAUCUGCAUCCGAACUCCAUUCUCCUUAUUUCUACCUUCAUCCAUCUGUGCGAGGCCUAUGUUGGAAUAGAGCCACACUUCGAUCUUUUCCGCUAUCUUUUUUGCUUGAGGAAGAAGGGUGCAGUUGGAGGUUCCAAGGUUGCAGGUGGAGUAUACCUCAAUCUGCGUGACGGGAUGACGAACCGGUAUCUCAACUGACCGUGGAAUACUUCUCUCACCGAAUGGUACAAGAAGUGGUUCUACGUCAGGGAAGAGCCGGGCAGCUCCACGUUCUGUGACGUGGGCUACAUUCCCGAGAAGAGGGUCAGCUGGACGGACCGCCCGCAGUUCGCUGGUCAGGUGGAAGACCUGAUGAAGCUGAUCGACUGGUCCCGUUUGGACGGGCCAGGAGUGGUCGGCAACUUCAUCUGUCGUCGGAUGAUGCCCUGCCAGAAGAGGGUUCACUCGGCGUACGAAUACGCUGGGAGCCAGGACCCGACCAGGAUGAGUCCUGAAGUUUUAGAGAAGGCGGAAGUGCAACAGCUGCUGAACGAGCUGUUCAACUUUGCAGACGACAGUUUUGUCCGGAGUGGUGGUCGGAUGCAAGCCUUCAAGCUUGGACAACCAGCUCCCAAGGUAAUAUUACUGACUGAAUUUACUUCCUGAGUACUCGUUCGCCCAGCUAUCGACUUAUCUUUGAUGUUGCUGCAGACUGGAGACGUUGACCGGUGCGCAGUGUACAUAUCACUAGCACCCGACAUGGAGAAUCCCGCGGGAAUAGACCCGCCAGAGGACGACGCUGCUGAGUGUCCCCGAUACACCAGCAGCGAGGAGGAACAGAACCGCCCCGCCCCGACCACCGAAGACAGAGUGGCGGGGAAAAGGCCGCUGGUGGCGGAUCCGUCUCCUGCGGAGACGCUGCCGACGGAGAGCAGCAAGGUGCCGAAGCACCGUCGGCUCGUCCAGAUCACCGACGACGACGAGGAGGAGGAGGAGGCCGUGCCUUCUCUGGUCCGGAGGUCGCGCAGUCAUCCGGACGUUGCGCCGGCUACCACUGGUCGGGUGACCAGCGACCCUCCUGCACCGCACGUCGAGCCGACGCGCGUCGUAGAGACGGGGGCGCAGGCACCGACCGGUAGGACCAAGAGGAGAUUCACCAUGACACACAGGAGCUCUGACCUGUAAGUUUGCAAUCUUACUUUCGUACUGCGAUAUUCUGUGUUUUGUUGCUGUUUCUAACACUGCUUAAAUGCCGUUUUGUUGUUUAGCGCGGCAUCAGACGUCGACCCUGACCACGUUGCUGGCCAGAGGGCGGCCGAGCCUGUAGCUGCCGUUGGGGACGCCGCGCCGCAGACCACGAAGAAGCCUGCGGCGACAACCGCUGCUACGAGCACCAAGGAGCAUCCGGCCCCGGCAAGUGCCACGGCGAGGACACAGACGAGGAACGAGGAGGCUGCGAGGACGCCUCCCCCGAGUAACGUUGUGGAGGAGGAGGGCAGAGCCCCGACUCCUCCACCAGCCGAAGAAAGGGGAGUCCCAACACCGCCCCGAGCAGGGGCCUCGUCGCCCGCAGGCUCCCCUGGCCUAAACCAGGGGCCAGUGAUGCCUACGACCACGGCCGGUGGCAGUGCGGCGAACGAGGAGACCCAGACGGCCUCUAACGAUGACGUGGAGGAGAUCCAAGGUUGUCCCCAUGACGGCCGCCAGCACGUCUACGUGUGGCGCCAACACGGGGACCACUUCAUCGGACAUGAGGAGCUCGCGGAGACGGAGGAGGCCGCGAGGGUGGAGCGCGCAGCAAAACGUCUCGUGGAUGAGGUUAAGGUAAGUGGUCCUUUGUGCUGCUCGACGCUUAUGCGCUAUGUUCCUGGGUUCGACAUGUAUUCUUCUUGCAGGGCGCAAUGAAAACGGCGAAGUACCGGAAAAGGUGCUUCGACCAAAUUGAGGGCAUUGUGGCUGAAAACAAGGCCCUGUCCGCGGAGGUGGAUCGGCUUCGGUCGGAAGCUGGGGAGAAGGCGGCCGAGAUGAGUGCUCAGGAAGAGCACCUUCUCGACCUCAAUCGGCGGUUAGCCGACCAGGAUCGUCAAAGGAGAGGUCAGUCGCGUACUCCGAGCACCUGUUUGUAGCCACGUGGUUAGUUUUGUUGACCAGGGGAUUGUUCCUGCAGACUUAGAGGAGGAGGUUGCACGCCUCCGGCAAGAGAAGGAGCAGCUCGGCCAGGAGCUUGCCGGGGCGCUGGAGACCGGGCGCCGAGCCAGCGAGGACCUAAGCAACAGGAAUCGGGAGUUGUCUAGUAAUAACCGUGCCACCCCUUUUUUAUUUGGUUGCUCAACGUUCCUUUCCUUAUUUGUGCGCUGACCUCCUGCUUGGUUUGUAGUGCUAAAGGUGAAUACCAAGAAGCAUUUAGACGAGCUGAUCAAGGACCGGGACUCCUGGAAGACCAACUGCAUCAAGCUUUGGAAAGGAGUGGCCCCGGUUCUUGACUUGAUCAGCCCCGAGCUCCCUGAAGACCAGCCGCGUUCGCCGAGACUGACGCCGGUCGAGAAGGCGCAACGAGCGUGGGACUGGCUCCAGCAGUUCGUCAAGGACGCCGGGGAAUUCACUGGUGCGCACGUCCUCAGCAUGGUGCGCGCCCACUAUCCUCUGGUCGACCUGUCCAGGCUGGAGAGGGGGUACCCCAAGGAGGUUGGUCCGCAGGAGGCAGACGACCUUCGUGCUGGCCUGCUUGACUUGUCGUCGACAGUGAUCGGCGACAUCAACCUUUGUGGGACGGCCACUCCCCCCGACCAGCCGGGAUCAGACAGGUCUGCCAGGGAGUUGUCGGGAGCGUCCAUUGCUGGAGAUGGGCGGUCGACGCCUACGGUCUCGACCAGCCAGGCGCCGGUGGCCCCGACCCCUUCAUCUGAGCAGCAAGGCCGAGCGGGUGAUCAGCCCGAGCAGUAGGCCUGUAGGAUAGUCUGUAGAAGUAGACUAGGAACCGCCCAGCGGGGUGUUUAUUGUAAAUUCUAUAUGUAAAGUUUGUAAUAAAGUUUGAUUUUGUCAUGACCAUGAUUUUGAGCACUGCAAUGUUAUCUGAGUGAUGUAUCACUGUGUUUGAUUAAUAAUCGUUAAGGAUCUUCGCCGUAGAGGAACAUUUGUUGUGCUCGUCGAAAGCUCUGCGUGUAAACGAUAUAUAGGAAAAAAAGAAAACUUUUAUUAUUGCUAAUUAUAAGAAACUUACAAGCAAAAGGUACUGGAACUUAUGGAUAGAAACGGCACAGUUUGUCUAUGUGCCAAGAAUUGGGCAAGCGUGUUCCAUCUGGAUACGCCAGUCUGUAGGAUGUAGGGCGUGUGACUUCGGCGACCACAAAGGGUCCUUCCCAAGGUGUGGAUAACUUGUGCGCUCCUUCCUGGCUUGUUUUCCACUUGAGUACCAGAUCGCCGACCAUGAAGGAACGGUCUUUGACGUUCCUGUUGUGGUAUCGCCUGAUGGCUUCGAGAUACUUUGCUGUUCGAAGACAUGAAAUUAGACGCUUUUCCUCCAUGCAGUUGAUUUCGAGCUCCCUGGUGCCGUCAACCGUUGACUGGUCGAAGUUCUCAACUCUUGGAGAUCCAAAGGUUACAUCAGAUGGGAGCACUGCCUCGGAGCCAUAAACCAUGAAGUAGGGUGACACGCCUGUAUUGCGACUAGCCUGUGUUCGGAGACCCCAGACCAUGGCCGGUAAUUCUUUCAUCCAUCGACCAGGUGCUCUGUCGUUCUUGGUGUACAACCUUUUCUUUAGGGCAUCAAUAAUCAUUACGUUCGCGCGCUCUACUUGACCGUUUGCCCGUGGGUGAGCUACUGACACGUACUUUAUAACUAUGCCCCUAUCAUCGCAGAAGUCCCAGAACGUAGUGCCAGUGAACUGAGUGCCCAGGUCGGUGAUUAUGCUGUUGGGGAUCCCGAAGCUGUGUAUGAUUUGAUUAAGGAACUCCACAGCUUUCUCGGAGGUUGCUUUGACCAGUGGCAUGUAUUCGAUCCACUUUGUGAAUUUGUCGACUAACACGAAGACGAACUUGAAGUUGCCGGGAGCCGAUUUAAAUGGACCGAUCAUGUUGAGGCCCCAGCAGGCGAAAGGCCAGGACGAUGGCAUAGUUUGAAUCUCGUGAGUAGGUACGUGGGUCCUCUUAGCGAAGAACUAGCAUCCUUCACAAUGUCGGACUAGUUUCUCGGCGUCGGCGACCGCGGUUGGCCAGUAGAAACCUGCUCGGAAGGCCUUCCCGACCAGUGUUCUGGAGGCCGCGUGAUUGCCACAGGAUCCGGCGUGUAUGUCAUUUAAGAGCUUGAUGCCAUCAUCUUGGGAUAUGCAUUUGAGCAGCACUUCGGAACUUGCAUUCUUUUGCAUAAGUUUGCCAUUGUUGACGGUCCUUAAUGCUCAUAUUUAACCAUCAAUUAAUCAUGGAAAAGGAUCCAAAUGCAACCAACACCUAGACUUAGGGUUUUAUCUGACAGAAUUCCACAAGUUUUGAUGUUUGUCUAUUUCUGCAGGGGGUUAUCAGGAAAUACAGAAGAAAGGCCCACACGUCGGGUUUACAUAGAGAUAUUAACGUGCCGCGCAAUUUUCUACCAUCUAGAAGACUCCAGAAGCCACGGGAACGAACGGGGGGCCGAUCGGGCUCGGAGGCAGGGCGCCCGCUCAACUCUCCUGGGCGCCCGCCCAGCUACAGUGCCCAAUCAGGACACGUUUCGCGGAUUAUGCUCCACCGACCUAAAGGAUCAAGGAAAACCGUGCGAUCAAUGUCGGUUUGAUCCGACGGCCCAGAUUCACUUGAAGGGACUAUAAAACCAGACCCCCUGGCCCCUGGAGAUCAUACCUCUUCUACAGAAUCAAAGCUAGGGUUUCAAUUCUUCAUCCAAGUAGAGAGGAUCCCUCUAGUUCUUCUAGUUCUACCUCUAGUUCAUCUAGAUCUAGUUCUAGUUCAUCUAGUUCUAGUUCUAGUUCCUCUAGUUCUAGUUCUAGUUAGUUCUAGUUGUAAUCUAGAAAAUAGGGAGAGAGAAGAGGAGAGCAGAGGAGGAGCCGGAUCUGUCGGUUCUUCCUCAACAUUGUACUUUUGCAGCAUCUGGUUCGUUCUUCAUCGUUCUCCAGGUUCUUCAAUUCAUAACUCCUGAGUUCUCUAAUUACAUUUAUUUACAUUCAAGUUAUUUAUUGGAUUCCCGCUUGCAUCAAGUGCUCUAAUCUUUGAAACAUUAGAGUAGUAAUUAAUAGAUUAGACGUGGUGUUUAGUCUUGCAAUUACCUGGAAUUGCACCCAAUCCUGCGGAUUGUUGUGGUAGCCCUAGGGUAGUGACAGCCCUAACGGUCGACGUAUUCCACCACGUUCGGAUCGGUGUUUGUAGGACCGUAGUUAGACCUUCCUAGCCCCCUUCUCAUCUCUUUCUGUGGUUAGUGCUCUGAUGUCCCGAUAUAGAUAAUCUUGAAGUAAUUCUUGAUUCUUAGAUCAACUAGAGAACUCUCAGGAAACUUCCUCUCUUCCUACCAAAAAUAUUCAUAUAGUUAUCCUUGGGCGAUUUUGGAUCUUAAUUAUUACACUCACGUUCUCUGUGGAAAAUCGAUACUCUGGAAUACUCCCGGGUGAAGGCUACAUCGGUAUCCGUGUGCUUGCGGAUUUUUAUGUUUGCGUUUAAAAUACCCAACAGCCAUCCACCAGUAUGUAAUUCUUGGAUCGUCGAAUGAGGCGCUCGUUCUCCGUUUUGUCCUGAAAGCCCGAUCCGUUCGAUAUAUACUUGAUGAAAGGAGUGCGCCAGUCGCGGCUUGUGGUUGUCAGAGUAGCGUCAUCUACGAGCAUUGCCUCAUUAGGUUGCUUUUCGACCAGGUCUGUGUCCACACUCGGCGCGUGGAUGUCCUGAACGAAAACGUCGUGCGGGAUCUGGGCCUGAGACGACCCUAACUUUGACAGCGCAUCCGCUGCCUGGUUCUUAUCCCGGACCACGUGGAUGUACUCUAUGCCAUAGAAGUUGGAUUUCCAUUUGUGGAUUUCUUUGCAGUAGAGGUCCAUCUUCUCGUGGGUUGUGUCCCAUUCCUUGUUGAGCUGGUUGAUAACUAAGGCAGAGUCGCCGUGGAUGUAGAGGCGUUUGACUCCUAGCUCGAUGGCUAGUCGUAUGCCGUGUAGGCAUGCUUCGUACUCAGCGACGUUGUUUGACGCCGGAAAGAGGAUCCUAAGGACGUAGCAUAGUUUGUCCUUGUUAGGCGACACGAAGAGAAUCCCGGCACCAGCACCGUUGAUGUUUAAGGACCCGUCGAAGAACAUUGACCAGUGGUCGGAGGUGUCGGAGACGGAAGGUUCGUUGAGGUCUGUCCAUUCUGCGAUGAAAUCGACCAGGGCCUGAGACUUGACGGUAGUGCGGCUCUAGAAGUCCAGGGAGAAUGGGCAUAAUUCCAUUGCCCAUUUUACAAUUCUGCCGUUGGCAUCCUUGUUGCGUAGAAUGUCCCCUAGAGGGAAGCUGGUGGUUACCAAGAUCCGGUGGCCGUCGAAGUAGUGCUUAAGCUUCCUGGACGUUAUUAGGAUGGCGUAUAUGAGCUUCUGUAUCUGUAGGUACCUGGUCUUGGACUCGUUUAAGACUUCGCUUAUGAAAUAAACGGGUCUCUGGACCUUGUAGACGUGGUCUAGCUCGUCUCGCUCGACCACUAUUGCCGUGGAGACAGCCCUAUUUGUUCCUGCGAUGUAAAGGAGUAGGUCUUCAUUGGGCUGAGGGGCUGUGAGUGUUGACACUUGCUAACACCACUUGAAUACUAGGUUGUCAUCCCCAGCAUGGCACUAGAGUGUACUAUGGUAUUUAUACGCACACAGAUAAUCCGCAAGUGCACGGAUACCGUUGAAGCUUUUACCCGGUUAGAGGUUUUAUCGUAUCCACAGGGAAACGGGAGAACUGAUCUACGCUCUAACUUAACCAAGAUAAGUAAAUAGGUGUAAAUAGGAAAGAUGGUAGAAUCGAAUAAGAACAAUAUUAAAGGUAAGAUAACAGUGAGUGAUAAUACGGGAAUAGAGAGUAGUGCAAUCUAGUAUAUGGGCGAUGGUAGCAGCAUAGAGAGGAUAACUAUGGUUUCUCUACUUCAAAGGGGUAUGUCUAUGUCUGGGACGAACCACGUGAUAAGAGUACACCACAAAGGAUGCUUAUCCUUAGGACGAUAAACCCUACCCGUCCUGCUAACGAGAGGUGGACUACAGAGGACCAACGUAACUGUCACCUACGCGGCCUACCACACGAUCCAGCUAGACAGGGGAUAUCCACAAGUAAUCUAGGUCUAAGCACCACGCUUACACCUAUACUACAACUCUCACCUAUAGCGUCCUAUAGAUUAGAAUACUCAAAAGAGUUGUGAACCAGAACAUACAUAAUUAGUAAUUGCAUAAUGAAUUAGAAGUAGAUUACCAGAGUCAUCCCAUGAGCAAGCUUGAUUAGAGCUUGAUCAUGACGAAGUACAACCGGAGGAAGAACCGACAGGCCGGCCUCUCCUCUAAUCCUCCUUCGCUCUCCAUCUCGCUACUAUCUAGAUCUACUCUAGUUUAGAGAAGAGAGGAGAGCUCUCAUCUCUAAACCCUAGCUUUUGCUCUGUCUAUGAAUAAUGAAUAAUGAUCGAGGGGUGCCUCCUCCAGGGGCCAGGGGGUCUGGUUAUAUAGUCCCCUCAAGUGAACCUGGGCCGUCGGAUCAAACCGACAUUGAUUGAAUGGUUAUUCUUGAUCCUUUAGGUCGGUGGAGAUCUCCCGAGAGAAAGAGUCCUGAUUGGGCUCCAAGUCAGGGCGGGCGCCCAGGGUAGGAGGGCGGGCACCCUGCCUCUGGCCCCGUUCGGCCUCCUCUUCCUUCCCGUGGCUUCUGGAGUCUUCUAGAUGUAAGAUAAUUGUGCGGCACGUUAAUAUCUCUAUGUAAUCCCGACGUGUGGGUCUUUCUUCCGUAUUUCCUGAUAACCCCCUGCAGAAAUAGACAAACACCAAAACUCAUAGAAUUCUAUCAGAUAAAACCCUAAGUCUAGAUGUUGAUUUCAUUUGGAUCCUUUUCUUUGUUUAUUUGAUAAUUAAAUUUGAUACUUAAGGACCGUCAACAAACUCCCCCAAGCUUACCUCUUGCUCGUCCCUGAGCAAGGAUAGACUCAGCAAUGGAUCAGAAGUUAUUGCAAUAUCUUAAAAAUUUGACGGUACACAUGCUUUUAAAUAAGAUCUCAUCUCUGAGUUAGAGUAAACUGUCAAGAACUAAAACUUCCUUACUUUACCUUUCACCAUGGGACUUGUAACCGUCACUUCUGUCUUGAGUAGUUAAAAGAUAGAACAGUCUAGCCAAGUGCCAUGUCUCUUAUUCUUGAUCAGCUAUAGCUCUGGAGUUUUUGCAGAUUUUCAAAUAAAACUCAGAGAUUCCUUGUAUGACUCUCUAAAUCUCUUUUUUGUGGUAUUUCUGGAUCCUUACCAAGGCAGUGAUGGUAUAUGCCUUCUCUCGAGAUAUGUGGUAUUUGUGGUAUAAGGCAUAGUGACAUUGCCUUCUCUCUCAUAAUAUUCUAACAAGGUUUUGAUAUCUGGAGCUCAUAGGUGGGAGACAGCUAAUAUAUACUUACAAGACAUUUAUUGCAUUGUCAAACCAUGGAUCCAGAGAAACAAGUCAAAAAGUCAAAUCAAGAUGUGCAUGUGUGGCGAAUGAAUGGUGUAUGGUGAUGAUGGUGAAAACAAUGGUGAAAGUCUAAUUCUACUUUUGCUCUUUUGAGGGGAUACAUACCUUCCUUGCUUUUUGAAACUUUAUGAGGAGAAUGAGAUGCUCUUCUUUUUCUUUCCUCUCAGGUGGGUAUCUUGUACCCCUAAUUCUACUGUCGGACACUUGUCCAUUUUUACCUCUCGUCUCACUUUUUCUUUCUUUCGAGGUUCCGGGCACUUGCCCCUUUUUAUUUCCUCGUUUAUUUUUUUUCUUUUCUUCUCUUUUCUCUUUUUUUUCAGAGCACUCAUCUCUUGAGAUAAUAUAGCAAGUGGUAGUAGCAAGAUAACUUGAGCAUUUAUUUCACAAGGGAAAAUAGAAAUAUUUUUGGCUAUUCUCUUCCGGAUUAGGAGUAGAAUAUUUUUGGGUGGUUCUGGAUAUGGACAUGGAUGGAUAUAUGUGGAUGGUACUUCCAGAGUAGAAGUAGCAUAUAUGAGUGAACGUGCAAGUGAAUCUUGAUUUAACCACAUGACAAGCUCCUAUGGGUCUACACAGCUUGACCACACUCAAUGCUCAUAAGCAGUAAAUAGUAAAUGUGUGGCUGAAAGUCUAGCAAGCAUGUAUAUAUGGCUGUGGUAGGAAUUUAAACUCUCAUCAUACAGGAACUCAUCAUGCAAUAUUUUAAAGAUUUUUUAAAGAUAAAAUUCUCCAAAAUUCUAGCAUCUCUAGGAACAGAUAAACAGCAGCUCAACCUUCCCAUAUCAUAUCCGUUAACAACUUAGAUUUCAGAUCAAGUUUUCAUCCCACAAGUUUAGAUCUAGAGCAAGCUUUAAUUAUAACAGUUAUGUCUAAACUUGAGAGAGAACUUCAAAUUUGCAAAUUAGGCAGAGCAACUAUUCAUCAUAUCCAUGCUUGAGUUUUAUUAUUAAGAUUCAGAUUAGCAUAGCCACUUUAUUUAUUUAUUAAACACACUAAGCAAAAGAUAUAUAUAUAUAUAUAUAAGCACAAAAUCUUUAUUUGGUUUUUCAUAGUUUAUGUAUUUUAAUAUUCUAACAUAAUAUAAGUAUAAGGAUAGGUAGAAAUACUUAGCGAGAUAAAUGGGGGUGCUCUCCCCCAAGCAGAAUUUUGAUGUAAUUUCUCUUGAUGUAGCUAGCAGGUGGCAGAGGUGUAUUUGAAAGUCAGCAGCAUUCUGACAGCGAUUAGAAUGUCCUCCGUCUACUAGUCUUCUUGAUUCUUAAAUUCUGUGGAUCUCAAAUAGACAACAAAGCUUGUGGAACUAAUUAAGUGUUAGCAUAAAUAUCUAGCCUUCAUCAUGUUGAGCUUCCUCAAUAAAUAUUACUCCCUGUUUUUAUAUUUUUAUUUUAUAAAGCAGAAAAGAAAUAUUUAUUUUAUUUUUAUGCCACCACAGUGAAGGUACUUAUGGGUUUUAUGCCACUCGUAUACUCACAUGGGGCUUAGUAUUUUUUAACAUUUUUAUUUUCUUUUCAAGAUAGCAUGAUUUAACUAAUAAUCUAUUUAAGGAAAGUAAAUAAUUAAAGGGAAAAGGGAAUGCAGAAAGGAUAAAUAUGGAUAACUACCGAUCUUACCUUUCGGCGAGGGUUCAAUGUUUUAAGUCUUCUUAACAAGACUUCUCACCGUGUUCAUUCUUCAGGUGCGUCAUUUGGUUCAGCUGCGGACCUUGACGUCUGCACCUCUUCGUUUGCCCAGCAGUUCGAAGUGCGGCGUUGGCAGUAUCUUGCUCAGUGUGUUUGUGCUCGUAGAUCCAAGUCCUUCACUUGGUAGAGUCUGAGAGUUAUAAAACUCCUCCAAGUUUUGCUCGAAGUGUACCUGCUCAUAGAGACAAGGCAGAGAUCAAGUGCAUGGGUCCUGUUGGUGGAAAACACCAACAGAACCUAAAGUGUAUUUGUUCUUCUCUAACCCUAAGCAUAGUGAGCAAGACAAAGUUGAUGGAUGAAAAGUUCAUGAGUGUAGCACUUAUAACAUUUGUCAGAUCAGAUCGCUCAACCUUAUGGAAAGAUAAUCUAUCUAUGUAUAUGUCUUUUUCUUUAUAUCUCUCAAUGAUUGAAUGUGUAACAUUUUAGCUCAUAUGAUUAGGAGUGUGGGAUCAUGGAGGUAGUACUAAGAACAAGGAUUAAAGGACUAAACAUGUUGAAUCAGUUGGGUUGGUUAAUCUAGAGUUGUAAAUCAUACGUGUUUGUCUCUUUUAUUUAUAUGAACGCCAGAACCAAGGAGAAGCUUAUAAAAGUGAUAGUCAAGUACCUUAAGAUGUUACCUUGCUUGAAGAGUGAUGGUACAAUAUCACCUUGUGGAAGCUUUCCUUUCUUAGCGGUUGUGCAUCGUGUUUGUGGCACCCUCCAUGGAUCAUCUCUCUAUGAUGAAUGAGCUAUGUCCUUCUUGUGUAAAUUGUUAAACUUCAUGUGUCACUCUCUUCGUCUCUAAUGUGAGUUUAUCUCAGGACUUCCCAAAUCGAUAUUGAAAGUUUUUCUGCAGGGGUUAGUCCGACAAAAAUAUACCAAUGUCUACACAAGGAGUUUUUAGUUCAAUAACCGAACUAGAGUCCAUGUCUAAUCAGAUUAAGGAAGGCUGUUUAACCUAAGCACCAUGCUUAAUUUAAAAGCCAAUAGAAGUAUGUGCAGUACUUCCAAACUAACACUUACUAGUAAAUAGACAAAGGUAACAUGACAACAUUUAUAGAGAUCUACUUAAGUGGAGAUGAAGUAGUGUGAUUAGUAUUUAACAAAUUGAGCAUGUCUUAAAGGUAGGGACAACCAACAUAGCAACAUGGCAAAGGAUGUUUUUAUGUAAAGUACUCCCCCAAGCUUGAAUUUUGCAGAAUUCAAGUUUGGAUGAAUUUAAUUCAGUGUUGCAUGAUGAUUGGUUGGAUAUACCUUGUACUUGCUUGUCAUUCAUCUGAUCUUCUUGUUCCAAUCCUGGAAAGGUUAGUGACAAGAAUACCCGAAGGAAUAUUUUUACAAUUAUCCUUAUACGCUCAAUACACAAGGUAAUGUUGCAAAUAAUUAAAAACUCAUGUUAUGAUCUGAUCAAUGCUUAUUUUAGGACACCAAGCUUGUCCUUGGGAAACCAUCAAUUUAUGUCGGCGAAGUGGUUUCCCUUCCAACGCUGACCUAAAUCAAGAUCAACUCAACGAGAUCUGCAAUAUUUAUUAUAGAAAUAUGCAUCGACAACCGCCCUUUUAAAGUUUUUAUAAAUAGAAAGGAAGAGGGGGUUGGAGAUCUCAAAUGUGGUGAUGUUGGAGAGACCAAUAGAUUGGGAAGAUGUUGCAUAUGAGCAUGGAGUGAAUGAAGUGGCUAUGAAAUAAAUUCCAUGCUUAUUAAUGUUAUCUUCGUCUCCAAUCUGAAUAUUUGGAGUUUCUCCUGGAUUGGUCUCACCUAUGUCCUCUUCUGUAGUUGGAUGAAUCUCAUCUUCAAAGGGAGUCAAGAACUCAUCAUUUGAAAUUGAGCCAAAGUUAGAAUCCAUUAAUGCUUCUUCCUUAUCCAUCCAUUCUACACAUUCUAGCCAUUUGGAACUUGUGAUCAGGAAAGGGGAGCUGAUAGAAUUUUCAAUAUGGCUUAGCUCUCCUUCACUUGAUAUGUCAUCCUCGACUUCUUCAUAACAGGAACCAGGACAUUCUCUAAGAGAACCAUUAUUGCGAGGAUUUGAAUUAUCCCUGCUUGAAGGUCUCUUAUGGAACCAGAAGUCUAAACCAUCUGCAUCUGAAAGAUUUAAGGUCGGAAUUCCUUCCUCCCUUGGAGAAUUUUGGGGUAUUGAUGGUUUAGGAUGGAUAGCUAAAGUUUGGAAUUGAAGUGGUUGUGAUCUGGCUAUCGAAACUUCUUCUUCUUGUCUAGGAACUGGUUCUGUCUCUUUCUCAGGGAUAUAAAAGCUAGGAGACUUUCCACUUAAUAAAUCAAUCAAAUUCCAAGCUUCACUAGCAGGUAGGUGAUAGAAGGAUCCUCUAGAGGCUGUAUUCAAUGUUUGCUUAUUUUCCAUACUAAGGCCUGUUGACGGUUCUUAAGUAUCAAUUUUAAUUAUCAAAUAAACAAGGGAAAGGACCAAUAUGCAACCAACACUUAGAAUUAGGGUUUGAUCUGACAGAAUUCCAUGAGUUUUGUUGUUUAUCUGUUUCUGCAGGGGGUUAUCAGGAAAUAAGGAAGAAAGACCGACAUGUCGGGAUUACAUAGAGAUAUCAAUGCACCGCACGAUUUUUUACCAUCUAGAAGACUCCAGAAGCCACGGGAAGAAGACGGAGGCCGAAAGGGGCCAGGCCCAGGGCGCCCGCCCUGGUGACCUGGGCGCCCGCCCCCUGCUGGAGUGCUUUCAGAACUCUCUUCGCACGGGAUAUUCCACCGACCUAUUGGAUCAAAGAAAAAAUAGUACCACCUCGUCUACCGACCCAAAAACGCAUAGAAGGGGAGGACUAUAUAAGGAGAUCCCCUGGACCCUGGAGAAGACAUGAAGAAAUUAUCAUAGAGACUGAGGGGUGCCCUCGAAGGAAAACCUCUUCUCUAAUUAAUAUUUCUUUUUAGGCUUAGCAACCAAUGUAAGGAAGAAAUAGAUCUUCUAGUUUCUACUAGAUUGAUAGAGAUAGAGUGGAGGUGUAGAUUGGAGGAAGCCCGGCCUGUCGGUGUCUACUCCAAGCUUGUACCUGCGGGAUCAAGUUCUCCUAACCCGAAGCUUGCUCCUAGGAUUCUUCAGUAUUUCGACUUCUAAAUUCUAGUAAGUUCUUGUUUUAUUGUUAUUAUGGUUUAUGAGUUUACUUUAAUCUCUUCGCGUAGAGUUUAGAGUAAUCAUUGCUGGCAUAAACGUGGUGUUUAGGCUGGGGUACUCAUAGAUAUUCCCUGACUAGCUGGACCGUGGUAGUAGUGAGGAACGUGACAAUUCCGAGUUACCUUUGUAGAUCACAUCUCGUUAGCAGGAAGAAUAGGGUUUAUAGGUGCGGGUUGAACAUCCUUUGUGGUGUCUAGAUUCCGUUAGCCUCCCCAUUAGAACAGUAGAUUAUCCUUACCAAGGUUAGAAGGAGACUACGGUUGCAGUCUUCUCUAUUUAUCACUCACAUCGAAAGACAUUCUUUGUGCCUAAAGGUUAGUAGUAAUAGACUGGUUAGUCAGAUGCACUCUUUCUCCUAGUGGUAAAAAAAUAAAUACGAUACUCUGGAUAAUUUCCCGGGUGAAGUGCUCACCGAUAUCCGUGCGCUUGCGGAUCAAUUCCUUAUUACGUUCCCAAAUAUCAACAAGGCCCUCAAAAAAGUGAAUUAGAAGAACUUCUUGUGAAAUAGAAAGCUUUGGGCCAGUCAGAGUAAGGUUAAUAAAGCGGUCCCAUGAUUUGCCAAGAGAUUCUUCUUCCUGUUGUCUAAAAGAAAGAAUCUCACGCCGAAGUUCCACCACUUUGGAGAUUGGAAAAUAUUUAAAAAGAAAACUAUUAUGUAACUCCUUCCAAUCUCCAUGAACACUCCCUACUUUGAGUUUAUACCAAUGUCUAGCUUUUCCUGUUAAAGAGAACGGAAAGAGCUUCCAUUUAAGGGUCUCAUCGGACAUGCCUUCUAUGCGAAGGAGGUCACAGACUCUAUAAAACUCUCUUAGGUGUGUGUAUGGGUUUUCCUCACCUUCUCCUGAGAAAGGUUGUUUUUGAACAAAUUCUAUGUAUUCGGGGUCUAUCUCAAAACUAGAUGCUAUGAUAGGCUUUGAAGAUUUUGGCGGUUCGAGAUGUGUGCCCGUAGGUCUAUGAAAUUCAUAGAUAGACAUGUUUGAAUUUAUGAUAGACCAGAGAUCAAGGAUUAGAUAAGAAGAAAGAUUAGCAGAGAUGAGGCAAAGGAUAAAAGGAAAAUAUAUAUUUUUUUUAGAAAAUGAUUAAGCUAGUUCGUAGUCAACUCAGCAACCGUUUCCCCGACAACGGCGCCAAAAAUGCUUGUUGACACUUGCUAACACCACUUGAAUACUAGGUUGUCAUCCCCAGCAUGGCACUAGAGUGUACUAUGGUAUUUAUACGCACACAGAUAAUCCGCAAGCGCACGGAUACCGUUGAAUGUUUUACCCGGUUAGAGGUUUUAUCGUAUCCACAGGGAAACGGGAGAACUGAUCUACGCUCUAACUUAACCAAGAUAAGUAAAUAGGUGUAAAUAGGAAAGAUGGUAGAAUCGAAUAAUAACAAUAUUAAAGGUAAGAUAACAGUGAGUGAUAAUAUGGGAAUAGAGAGUAGAGCAAUCUAGUAUAUGGGCGAUGGUAGUAGAAUAGAGAGGAUAACUAUGGUUUCUCUACUUCAAAGGGGUAUGUCUAUGUCUGGGACGAACCAUGUGAUAAGAGUACACCACAAAGGAUGCUUAUCCUUAGGCCGAUAAACCCUACCCAUUGUUGACGGUCCUUAAGUAUCAAAUUUAAUUAUCAAAUAAACAAAGAAAAGGAUCCAAAUGAAAUCAACAUCCAGACUUAGGGUUUUAUCUGAUAGAAUUCCACGAGUUUUGGUGUUUGUCUAUUUCUGCAGGGGGUUAUCAGGAAAUAAGGAAGAAAGGCCCACAUGUCAGGAUUACAUAGAGAUAUCAACGCACCGCGCAAUUUUCUACCAUCUAGAAGACUCCAGAAGCCACGGGAAGGAAGCGGAGCCCGAAAGGGGCCAGGCCCAGGGCGCCCGCCCUGAGGACCUGGGCGCCCGCCCCCUGUUGGAUGCCAAUCCGGACUCUCUUCACUCGGGAUGUUCCACCGACCUAUUGGAUCAAGAAAAACAUAGUACCACCUCGCCUACCGACCUAAAAACGCAUAGAAGAGGAGGACUAUAUAAGGAGACCCCCCUGGCCCCUGGAGGAGAGAAGAAAUUAUCAUAGAGAUUGAGGGGUGCCCUCGAAGGAAAACCUCUUCUCUAAUUAAUAUUUAUUUUUAGGCUUAGCAACCAAUGUAAGGUAGAAAUAUAUCUUCUAGUUUCUACUAGAUUGAGAGAGAUAGAGUGGAGGUGUAGAUUGGAGGAAGCCCGGCCUGUCGGUGUCUACUCCAAGCUUGUACCUGCGGGAUCAAGUUCUCCUAACCCGAAGCUUGCUCCUAGGAUUCUUCAGUAUUUCGACUUCUAAAUUCUAGUAAGUUCUUGUUUUAUUGUUCUUCUGGUUUAUGAGUUUACUUUAAUCUCUUCGCGUAGAGUUUAGAGUAAUCAUUACUGGCGUAAACGUGGUGUUUAGGCUGGGGUACUCAUAGAUAUUCCCUGACUAGCUGGACCGUGGUAGUAGUGAGGAACGUGACAAUUCCGAGUUACCUUUGUAGAUCACAUCUCAUUAGCAGGAAGGAUAGGGUUUAUAGGUGCGGGUUGAACAUCCUUUGUGGUGUCUAGAUUCCGUUAGCCUCCCCAUUAGAACAGUAGAUCAUCCUUACCAAGGUUAGAAGGAGACUACGGUUGCAGUCUUCUCUAUUUAUCACUCACAUCGAAGGACAUUCUUUGUGCCUAAAGGGAUAGUAGCAAUAGAUUUGGUUAGUCAGAUGCACCCUUUCUCCCAGUGGUAAAAAAUAUAAAUACGAUAACUCUAGAUAACCUCCCGGGUGAAAUGCUCACCGAUAUCCAUGCGCUUGCGGAUCGUUUCCUUAUUGCGUUACCAAAUACAACAAGCAUUUCUGGCGCCGUUGCCGGGGAGAAAGACGGUUUGCUGAGAUAACUUUGAGUCUUGCUAUUAUCUUGUAUUAUACUUUUAUACUUUUAUUCUUUUAUCUUUUUAUUUUUAUCUUUAUGGAUAACUCAAAUUCCAUACCUAUUAUUAAAUUCUUUGCACCUUCGGAGACCAGCCAUAGACCAUGGGAGUCAACACGUCCUGCCCCUAAUUAUGAUCUGUGUCCGGAGUUGAUUGCAAUAGGUCAAAACCAACCCUUUUCUAUAGCUGAGGUCCUAUCUUUUAAUCAAAAAGAUAAUGCACUUUUAACUACACCUAGGGAAUCUUUUAAUCUUUCUAUAAAUUCUGGUUUAGACCUAGCCCUACAAGACCAUGUUUUUCCUAGAUAUUUUCACAUUGGUCUUAAUCAUAUAACCUUUGGUAGAGUCUUUCUUUCUUUAUCUAUUAGUAAAGGAAGGUAUGUCUUCAUUCGUAGACAUCCUUCUUGCACUAGUCUUCAUAGAAAAAUCUUAGAGAUAGAGAAGGAAUCAUCUCCCAUACAAGGAGAGGAAGUUUCAAUAGCCGAUUUCCAAACAUUUCAAUCCCAUGAUUCGGCUAUCCAACCCAUCCUUGAGCUUAAUAAUUUCUACUAUGCUUUUUCUCUUGAACCUCCCGAUAAUCCUAUGAAUCUCUCUAGACAUCCCAUGCAUAAGAAGGAGGAUCGAGAAGAGCAACAUCAAUGGCUAGAGGGCAUUAAAAAUCCAUGUGCUAUCACCAUUGAAUGGAUAGAUAAAACAAACUUGAGAGACAAUCCUAGAGGAAUUUUAAGCAUUUAUGAAGAAUCAUCCUUGGAGUUUAAGAAUGAGAGAAACAACAGUGAGCAAGGAAGUUAUUUCAUAAAUACCUCACCCAGUCCUUGCUCAUACAAAACAUCUCUCCAAUCAAUUUGUCUCUCUAUCCUUACCACAUUUGAGAUCUCCAACCCCCUGUUCCUCUUCAUUUAUAAAAACCUUAAAAGGGCGGUUGUCGAUGCAUAUGUCUAUAAUAAAUAUUGCAGAUCUCUUUGAGUUGAUCUUGAUAUAGGUAGGUGUUGGAGGGGAAACCACUUCACCAACAUAACUUGAUGGUUUCCCAAGGACAAGCUUAGUGUCCUAAAACAAGCACUUAUCAGAUCAUAACAUGAACUUCUAAUUAUUUGCAACAUUGCCUUGUGUAUUGAGCAUAUAAAGAUAAAUGUAGAAAUAUUCCUUCGGGUAUUCUUGUCACUAACCUUUCCAGGAUUGGAGCAAGAAGAUCGGAUGAAUGACAAGCACAGGGUAUGUCCAACCAACCAUCACACAACAUUGAAUUAAAUUCAUCCAAACUUGAAUUUUGUAAAAUUCAAGCUUGGGGGAGUACUUUACAUAAAAACAUCUUUUGCCAUGUUGCUACGUUGGUUGUCUUUACCUUUGAGACAUGCUCAAUUUGUUAAAUACUAAUUACACUACUUCAUCUCCACUUAAGUAGAUCUCUAUAAAUGCUCUCAUGCUACCUUUAUUUGCUUUAGUAUAUGUCUAGGUUUGGAAUAGUUUCAUUUAUCUCUUAAUUAAGCAUGGUGCUUAGUUUAGGAAUGAUGAUCUUACUUCCAAGGGAUUUUAAAUUAAGCAUGGUGCUUAGGUUAAAAUGCCCUUCUAAAUCAAAUUAGACAUGGUGUCUAGGUUGAUUUUUAAGCCGAUAGUAUGCUAUAGUAGAUAUGGGAUAUUUUGUUGGACUAACCCCUGCAGGAAAACUUUCAAUAUCAACCUAGGAAGUCCUAAGAUAAACUCGCAUUGGAGAUGAAGAAAGUGACACAUGAAGUUUAACAAUUUGCACAAGAAAGACGUGGCUCAUAAGAGAUGAUUCAUGGAGGGUGCCACAAACACGAUGCACAACCGCUAAGAAAGGAAAGCUUCCACAAGGUGAUACUGUACCGUCACUCUUCAAGUAAGGUAACACCUUAAGGUACUUGACUAUCGCUUUUAUAAGCUUCUCCUUGGUUCUAGCAUUCACAUAAAUAAAGAGACAAACAUGUAUGAUUUAUAACUCCAGAUUAACCAACUCAAUUAAUUCAACAUGUUUAGUCCUUUAAUCUUUGUUCUUAGUACUACCUUCGUGAUCCCACGCUCCUAAACAUAUAAGCUAAUAUGUUGCACAUUCAAUAUUUGGAAGAUAUAAACAAAACAUAAAUAUAGAUAGAUUAUCUUUCCAUUAGGUUGAGCCAUCUGAUCUGACAAAUGUUUCAAAUACUACACUCAUGAUCUUAUUAUCCAUCAACUUUGUCUUGCUCACUAUGCUUAAGGUUAGAGAAAAACAAAUACACUUUUGGUUCUGUUGGUGUUUUCCACCAACAGAGCCCAUGCACUUGAUCUCUGCCUUGUCUCUAUGAACAGGUACACUUCAAGCAAAACAUAGAGGAGUUUUACAACUCCCAGACUCCACCAAGUAAAGGACCUGGAUCUAUGAGCACAAACACACUGAGCAGGAUAUUGCCAACACCAUACUUCAAACUGCUGGGCAAAGAAGAACAUGGGUGACACCGUAUCAAGAGGUGCAGACGUCAAGGUCCACACCUAAUCAAAUGAUGCACCUAAAGGAUGAAGAUGGUGGAAAGUCUUGUCCAGAAGACUUAAAACAUUGGAUCCUUGUCGGAAGAGGUCAACAUCGUCGACUCAAGUCACCUUUCUUGAUCAAGAAGGACGACCCUGGUGUUCCAAGCAUCGAGUGCGCAAUCAAUGGAUACUCUUUUCAGAAGACACUCUACAACACCGGAUCUGACGACAACAUAAUGGCCGCAGUCACUUAUCAGCUCCUGCAUGGAACCAUGCCCCUACAACCAAUAUAUUCAGCUCCAGAUGAUUUUCAGGUUAUUGACAUGGGAGAAGACGAAUAUGAUCCACCCACCAUCCUUGGAAGACCGUUCCUCAACACUAUCAAAGCAAUCAUCUACAUUGGAACCAGAGAAGUCCACAUGUACUUCCCCUCUGAGAAGGUACGCAACUAUUUUACUGACCAUAACUAUAUAGUUGAAGAUUCUAAGCAGGUCAGGACAAGAAGACGACACAACCGCAACCAAGAGGAGGCAAAUCAUCAAGAACGGAUGGGUAGACUACGAAGGAAAAGUGAUAAGGACUGAAAUCAUACAGCUUGAACAGAACUGUCCUGAGGAGACCGUAGCACCGAGUCAGGUAUGGAGGGAGAAGAUAGUUAUACACGAAGAGAGACGCCGCCGGAAUCACCGACUACGCCACCUAGCGAAUCCCAGGACGACUGAGAAAACAGAGAGUCCCGUUCGGAGGACAUAAAAAUAUCGAACGCCUUGCCAAGAGGUAAACUUGGUAGUUACCCUUUCCUUUUAAUUAUUCAAUUAUAAUUUGCUUAGUUAAUCAGGUUCAUGCUAUCUUGAAAAGAAAAUAAAAAUGUUAAAAAAUAGUAAGCCCCAUGUGAGUAUGCUCAUGGCAUAAAACCCAUAAGUACAUUCACUGUGGUGGCAUAAAAAUAAAAUAAAUAAGUUUUCAUCUUACAAUAAAAAAAUAUAUAAAUAUAUAUAUAUAUAUAAUAAUAAGUGUAUGAUCCUGCUAAAUAAAUAACAUUUAUUAAAGAAGCUCAACAUGAUGAAGGCUAGAUAUUUAUGCUAACACUUAAUUAGUUCCACAAGCUUUGUUGUCUAUUUGAGCUCCACAGAAUUUAAGAAUCAAGAAGACUAGCAGACAGAGGACAUUCUAAUCGCUGUCAGAAUGCUGCUGACUUUCAAAUACACCUCUGCCACCUGCUAGCUACAUCAAGAGAAAUUACGUCAAAAUUCAGCUUGGGGGAGAGCACCCCCAUUAUUCUCGCUAAGUAUUUCUACCUAUCUUUAUACUUAUAUUAUGUUAGAAUAUUAAAAUACAUAAACUAUGAAAAACCAAAUAAAGAUUUUGUGCUUAUAUAUAUCUUUUGCUUAGUAUGUUUAAUAAAUAAAUAAAGUGGCUAUGCUAAUCUGAAUCUUAAUAAUAAAACUCUAGCAUGGAUAUGAUGAAUAGUUGCUCUACCUAAUUUGCAAUUUUGAAGUUCCCUCUCAAGUUUAGACAUAACUGUUAUAAUUUAAAGCUUGCUCUAGAUCUAAACUUGUGGGAUGAAAACUUGAUCUGAAAUCUGAGUUGUUAACGGAUAUGAUAUGGGAAGGUUGAGCUGCUGUUUAUCUGUUCCUAGAGAUGCUAGAAUUCUAGAGAAUUUAUCUUUGAAAAAUCUUUAAAAUAUUGCAUGAUGAGUUCCUGUAUGAUGAGAGUUUAAAUUCCUACCACAGCCAUAUAUACAUGCUUGCUAAACUUUGAGCCACACAUUUACUAUUUACUGCUUAUGAGCAUUGAGUGUGGUCAAGCUGUGUAGACCCUUAGGAGCUUGUCAUGUGGUUAAAUCAAGAUUCACUUGCACGUUCACUCAUAUAUGCUACUUCUACUCCGGAAGUACCAUCCACAUAUAUCCAUCCAUUUCUAUCUCCACCCAAAAAUAUUCUACUCCUAAUCCGGGAGAGAAUAGUCAAAAACAUUUUCCUAUCCCUGUUAUUCCCUGUGAAAUAAAUGCUCCAAAUAUUUUGGUUACUACCACUUGCUAUAUUAUCUCAAGAGAUGAGUGCUCUGAAAAAAAAGAAAGAAAAGAGAAGAAAAAAAUAUAUAUAUAAACGAGGAAAUAAAAAGGAGGCAAGUGCCCGGAACCUCGAAAGAAAGAAAAAGUGAGACGAGAGGUAAAAAUGGACAAGUGUCCGACAGUAAAAUUAGAGGUACAAGAUACCCACCUGAGAGGAAAGAAAAAGAAGAGCAUCUCAUUCUCCUCAUAAAGUUUCAAAAAGCAAGGAAGGUAUGUAUCCCCUCAAAAGAGCAAAAGUAGAAUUAGACUUUCACCAUUGUUAUUACCAUCAUCACCAUACACCAUUCAUUCGCCACACAUGCACAUCUUGAUUUGGCUUAUUGAUUUGUUUGUCUGGAUCCAUGGUUUGACUAUGCAAUAAAUGUCUUGUAAGUAUGUAUUAGCUGUCUCCCACCUAUGAGCUCCAGAUAUCAAGCCUUAUUAGAGUAGGGUGAGAGAGAAGGCAAUGUCACUAUGCCUUAUACCACAAAUACCACAUAUCUUGAGAGAAGGCAUAUACCAUCAAUGCCUUGGUAAGGAUCCAGAAAUACCAUAAAAGAGAGAUGAGAGAGUCAUACAAGGAAUCUCUGAGUUUUAUUUGAAAUCUGCAAAAAAAACCCCAGAGCUAUAGCUGAUCAAGAAUAAGAGACAUGGCACUUGGCUAGACUAUUCUAUCUUUUAACCUCUCAAGACAGAAGUGACAGUUACAAGUCCCAUGGUGAAGGUAAAGUAAGUAAGUUUUAAGUCUUGACAGUUUACUCUAACUUAGAGAUGAGAUCUUAUUUAAAAAGCAUGUGUACCGUCAAUUUUUAAAGAUAUUGCAACAACUUCUAAUCCAUUGCUGAGUCUAUCCUUGC
rnacentral:lncRNA from 1 species